rnacentral:lncRNA from 1 species
UGUGCGGGUUAACAGUUGUGAUCAUAAGGAGUCAUUUUCUUUUCAUUUCUCAUUAGAAUUACGUCCAUCAGUUGUAUGUAUCAGUUUCACGCUUGGUCUUCCCUUAAUUAUCCUCAGUUUGACAAUACCGCACCCCGCAUUGUCAUGUGCUUAUCCUUCGAGGGGGAGCGUGUCAUGGCUACGAUCGAACACUCACUUUCAGAUCGCAGUCAAAAGAGAGGAGGAUGACAAGCCGUCGCUGCGCCCGUGUCCCGUUAGAAGUGCAUCGUGAUGCCAUCAUCUUUCUUAAUGGUGCUCCACUUGUCCUAUUCUCGAUUUUCACUAUUAGUCGUCAUUACAAUGGUGAAAGUUUGAUACCAUCCGUGCAAGUUGGGGAAGCAUAAUUGAGCAGGUUUAUUUGAUCAACUCUUGCAAAGCUGUCCAGGUUCCAUGGAUCAAUUUCGUAUUGGUCAAUGAUUGCAAAGCCUUUUUAGAGAUGUUGCAAGUUUAUUUUAGUUUGAUCAGGUCAGGAAUUGUGGCUGAAUCUUAUAACAGAGCAAAAAACGUAUUCGAUCGAAUCUUUCGUUCAAUCCGGCAACCCACUAAGCUCUUAAAGAAAGCCGGCCUGGCCCGACCGGGCCUGGUUUCAGGUGGACCGGUCGUUCUGGACUGCCGAUCUGCCCCCCAAUGGCCCACUCGCGCAUUUUCAGGUCAUUUUUUUUUCUAGAGAAAGAAGAAAAAAAGAUUAGCAAGGAAGCGAAUGCGGUGUGGAGCUGCACGCACGGCGCGGGGUUAGGUCAAGCCGCGGUUGCGACGCGGUGGGCGAGCCGAACCAAGCGGCGAUUGAGGCGAAGGGGUGGCGAGCGUGGCGGCCGGAGAUGUCGCAGAAGAGGCAGCCGGAGGAGAGCGACGGCCCGCGCCGCGGCGGCGGCGGCGGAGAGGCUGGCGGGAGCUCGUCCUCCUCCUCCCUGCCUUACCGCCCCGGCGAGCCGAAGCGCCCGAGGGUCGCCCUCCGCGAGUAAGUUCGCCCUUCCCCCCUCACGGUCUCGAUUGGAAUCCCCCGGUUUGGAUUGUGCCGAUUAGUGGGCGUCGCUCUCUGAUUCGGGGCUGUGGUGGCUUCCUCUUCCUGCAGUGUGAUCACGGAGGUGAUGCGGAACACCAGCAUUGAGAAGUUCUUCAUGGCGAUCGAGCCCCUCAUCCGGAGAGUGGUGAGACCGCCUUUUAUUUCCGUUAUUAUGUGCUCCCAUUUCUCGAUUCCGUGGCUUGAAAUUUCAUAGGGUUUGGAUAUUUGGUAUGAUGUGCGCCCUUCAGACUGUAUUUCAUUUCUAUCAUUUGGUUGGUUAUUUUGACGAUCCAUAGUACUAUCUGUAUCUGCUGCUGAUUAUACCCGCGUAUUAGUUAUGGGUCAUUCAAUCAAUUGGCUAAUUGAGAAGUUGCAAACAUGCUUAAAUUACUUCAACCGUUCCCAAUUCUAUGUAUUGGAGCCCCUACGAUCCUGCAAAUUGGUUAAUAAUUACCAUGUUUUUGGUUUUUAUGUUACUGCAGCAAAUUCUUGUUUAACAUCCAAACUACUUCUUGGAGAAGCUAUGCUUUUAUCUGUAUCAUAUUAAUAGCUGUAUAGGCAACCCUACAAAAUAAAGCUUUGUUCCCUGUUUCUAUUUUGUGCCCAGCCAUUCCAAUUCAGAGAUAAUUUUACAGGGGACCACAGCCUAGGUUCGCCUUCAACCAUGUGUUACUUUAGCAAUCUACCGAUGGUUUUGAUAGUCUGUUCAUUUCUAGGUAAAAGAAGAAAUCGAGUCAGCAUUUGCGAAUCAUACCUCUAUGAUGGCAAGGUAUGGCGUUUUUUAACACUACUUUGACAACCACCAUGAUUUGUGUUGGUCUCUGUAUCGCUAAUGAGUUUUUUUUUAUUUUUUUAUUAGAAGUGUCACGGACACUCUCCCAUGUCCAUCAAAGAAUUUGAAGCUGCAGUUCAUGACUAAACUUUCUCUUCCAAUAUUUACUGGCUCUAAGAUUGAAGGAGAGGGCUCCUUAAGUAUAACCAUUGCUCUAGUCGACACUUUGACGAGACAAGUUGUAGCAUCAGGCAAGGAGUCCUUGAUGAAGGUUGAGAUUGUAGUUCUAGAGGGGGAUUUUGAAAGUGGAGAAGAUGAUGAUUGGACAGCUCAAGAAUUCAACAAUAACAUUGUUAAAGAAAGGGAAGGUAAAAGGCCCUUGAUUUCUGGAGAUGUGUAUGUUGGCCUUAUUGAUGGCAUUGGAACAGUAGGGGAACUUUCAUUCACAGAUAACUCCAGUUGGACACGGAGCAGAAAGUUCAGGCUAGGUGCAAGAACUGAGGAUGGUUGUUUCAACGGCAUUAGAGUACGGGAAGCAAAAACUGAAUCAUUUGUGGUUAAGGAUCAUCGAGGAGAAUGUGAGUUUCUGAUUUUCUCAAGUUUCAAUGCGCAAGCUCUCCUUUUACUUUCUUGCUCUGCUGGACUCAUGCUAGGCUUCUGAAUGAUUUGGUCUAGUGGCAUUUAAUUUAACAAUUGCAUGAAAAAUAUAAAAUGAAUUUCUUGUUGUCCUCUAGAGUCUAGACUUGGUUGAACAGUAUGUUUCCUUAAGUGAAGGAUUCUGAUAUCCCGCUGAUCUACCUUCUCUAACUGAAUGAUGUGACCUACUAUUUCUCCAUUGCCUUGAAUACUUUUAAAAUGAUAUAAUUUAAUUCAAUGUCUCCUCUUGACCAGUGUACAAGAAGCACCACCCACCAUUUCUUGAUGAUGAAGUAUGGCGCCUGGAGAAAAUUGGCAAGGAUGGUGCUUUUCACAAGCGUUUGAAUAGGGAGAGCAUCUGUACUGUUAAGGAUUUUCUCACUUUACUACAUCUUGAUGGUCCUAGGCUUCGGAAGGUAUUGUUCUGGUCUUCAUUUGUUCUGCUGCUCUGCAUGUUUGUUGCCUAUGGGUAGUUGCAGUUCAUCAAAGAUGUGUACUAUUAACCCCGCUCUAUGUUCAAAUCAUGCAGAUAUUAGGUGGCGGCAUGUCAACAAAGAUGUGGGAGGCCACCGUGGAGCAUGCAGAAACCUGUGUUUUAACUGACAAAGUGCAUUACUACUAUCCAGACAGUCUAAACAAAGCUGGUGUUGUAUUCAAUGUAGUUGGAGAAGUAAGAGGGUUAAUAUCUGAUAAAUUUGUUUCUGUUGAUGAUCUUACUGAAAAGGAGAAGGUAAUGUUCCAUCACUUUCUAAGUUCUUUUGAACAAGUUCACCUGGCUUCCUACACCCCCACCCAUUCUGACCUUGACCAUCUGUUUUUACAUGUUUUCUAUUUUCAGGCUGAAGCACGUGUGGCUGUGAAGCAAGCAUAUGAACACUGGAAGAAUGUCUUUACAUGUGACAACGGAACGCUUGUGGGUAAUCCUUCGCAGCUGUUCAAUAUGAGAUCUCUGUCUUUGCAUGAAAAUCAAUAUAACCCGUUUCCCACGCAAGUUUCUACUGAUGACUUUGGUUUGAGCCAUUCGCCUCUACCAUCACCUGACAUUUUCUCGAUGGAACCAUCGAGUUCCUUAGACCCUUGUGUACUGGAGACUGAGGUGGGCAAUGAAAAUCGAUUUCAGUCAGGGGUGCUCCCAGUUGGUGGCCACGAAGUGCCACAAGAGUCUCAAACACUGGAUAAGUUCUCCAACUCUUUGGUUUACGAGGACAGCAAUCAUCCCCCGUUCAGCGAUAUGUAUUAUGGCCCUGUAGAUCCCAGCAUAUCCUUUGACACACAGGAUCUUGGAGCUGCACUGAAAGGCUUCAUUGCAACCAUAUCGAAGCCUAAGGCUUACAGAGGGUGGAGGACACUGUCUUAUGUGCUAGGAUGGAUUUUCUAUACCAAGAGAAUUGUAGCAAGGAGAAAGAAAUAUGGGAAAUAAAUGUUUGAUCGAGGCUGUGUCUUUGCGUAGUUAAAUGGUGAAAUACAAGUGGAGAGGAGAUGAUGUACAUUAGAUUCGUUGGUUGUCUUCUCUUGUUUUGGGUGCAGUUGGUAAGCUCUGCUGGUUUCUUGUGCUGUAUAUGAGCAUUUUAUCAGCUAGGGUUCCGAUAUGAGGCUGUAAAUAAUCAGAUGAAGUUUUGUACAGGGUAAGGGAUGCGCAUACAUGUAAUGCACAAGUAUUGGUGAUGAAAAGCCGGGGUUUCGUUUUUGAUGCGACCCGUGUAUUCUGUAAAGCAUGCUGGAUAAAUCUGCACUGUGUUGCGUGCUGCUUUUUAUUGUAGGAAUCCAGUGUUGUGCUGUGCGUGGCAUAAAGGUAUCUUGAGUUGAGAUGCUACUCUAGGGUCAUAUCCCAUCCUAGGGCAGAGGUGGUAAAAAGUUCAUUUUUCACUCCUAGGGCAGAGCUUUCCCAUCAAGAGGCAUAUUCUUAUUCCCAUUGUUCUAGUUUUAUUGGGGCCUUUGUUUUGUUUGAGUAGAUAUGAACUUCCAAAAAUUGAGUAAAAAGGAAAAAGUAAAAGUCAAGUGAACAUCAAGGCCCCUAACUAUAAGCCGUACAAAGCACUCCUGCCCUUAAUGAAGGAGAAGGCGUCGAUUAGAGGCCCAGAGAGACGUUGGGAAACGAAAGCAUUAGUAAAGUACUACAGCAUAGUAUUGUAUAUAACCCUGAUGAUGCUCUCCCAUCAUCACCGAAAGAUGCAAGAAAACUCGAGAAAGACAGAGGUUUGGUUUGGGCAUUUGCAGGAGGAGCCAACGUCUUUAUUCUCUGAUGCACCCCCUGCCAGUCCCUGCGCCCGCCCAAGCACUAACAACAUGGCCGUGUGUGGUUUGUGUCAGGAUCAAGAUCAAACAGCGCACAAGCUUAUUACCUGCCCACAACCUCGUUUAAAUUACUACGUUUACAUGUAUAUAAACAUUUUUUUUGAAAGAUUCAUGUAUAUAAAUAUGAUAUCUGUGUCGGUCGGUCGAUUGAUUCCUUGCUGCUGAGAUGGAUGAAUGAAAUGGUGAAUGGAUCGUCCCCACCCCCAGGAAUAAACAAGAGGGAGGGACAUGGGGGAGGUUCCCAAGAUCCUUUCCUUGCAACUUUCGCCUUGCUUUCGCGACCUGCUCGAGCCCAUGUGGGGAUCACUCGUUCCCUGGGUCCUCCGAAUCGAGUGUCCAGGUCUCCGUGUGGGGUCCCUAAACCCUUAACCGUAACGUAAUAAUCUCUUCGCCUGGAAAAAAUGGCCGUCUAGAACAACCAUCAGUAAGGACACGUUCAUCAUGCCAAUGGAUCGUAUGCCAUCCGUAGUUCGUAGAUGGUCACAUGCUCGUGACGAGAGCAUCCAUCGAUGGCGUCCAGCGUGGUGCUCCCGUUUGCUCACCGGACCUCAGAGCCUCCCCCUCCCUCUCCGUUCACCCCGGCGGUUCGGAGCAAUCGAGUCCCGCGAGGACACCUGCGCGCAGCGAGCAUGAUGGUGUUGGCUAAAACAGCGUCCCCUCACCGCGCCGCCCGCAACAAACAAACCAACGGCCGCCCGGGUCCCAGCCACGCCGCCCGGCCUCUCAAACGGUCAAACUGGCGUGCGCGAGAGGCCCGUGUCUUUGAACGUACGCGCCCGGAGCAGAGGACGCUCGGAGCCAGCCAAAGGACCCGGGGUGGAAUGAAUGAUGGCCUGGCCGCAGUAACUCUCGGCAACCACCGCGCUGCGCGUAGUACGACACCCCCCGGCGGCAGGGGAUGCGGCCGUGCGUGCACAGAGGGGGAGCUGGUGAGGAUCACAUGGAGGGAGCCAGGCCAAAGAGCGUGCCCCCGAGUGGAGUGGAGCCGUGGAGGAGAGCCAGUUUGUCUGGCGCGGUGCGUGCGAGCACCCCUUCUUGCCCGGUCACAGAGGCGAGAGAGGGGCGGCCGUCGGUGAGCCGGCGCUGCGUGCCCGGGAAUACUUUACUCGGGUGCCGCUCGAUGCGCGUGGCAGCGGCCGCGUGAGUCACCGCUGCUCUGCGAGGCCGCGACCUCUGUUCCCUGCCGCGUUGGUGCGCUGCCUCUGCCUCCCCACCCACGACGCACCGCACCGCACCGACCGCUUCAAAUCGCGCGUCGCCACCAGGCGCCCGGCACCUCACUCCUCACUUCUCACUCCUCUUCACUUCACUCCUCGACUCCUCGCCUCGCUGCAGCUCGCUGCUGUCUCGCUAGCUCCCAGGAGAAGAGAGACAGAGACAGAGACAGAGAGGCAGGGAGACGGGAGAGGAAGCAACAAGCCAACGAACAAAGAGCUCCUGAGAUGGCGGCGCCGGCGCCGAAGCAGGAGGAGCUGCAGCCGCACGCCGUCAGGGACCAGCUCCCCGCCGUAUCCUACUGCCUCACAAGCCCGCCGCCAUGGCGUACGUCCUCUUUCUCUCCGCUCCUCCCACGCUAAUCCCCUCGUUCACAUUGCUCUGGUCCUGUACCCUGCCGCCGCCGCCGCCGGCUUCGCGCAUUGCUCUUGGAUCUCUGUCUCGGACGAGACUGACGCGUGACGCCGGCCUCCUCCGGGUUCCUGUUUGCAAUGCAGCGGAGGCCAUCCUCCUCGGGUUCCAGCACUACCUCGUCAUGCUCGGCACCACCGUCAUCAUCCCCACCGCGCUCGUCCCCCAGAUGGGCGGCGGCAAUGUACGUUCCCGACUCCUCUCUCGCUAUCCUUUUCUCUUUCUCUUUCUCUCCUCACCGCCACGGCUGCCGCGCCGGAGCCUGACAAGAAAGCUCGCUUUUCCCCCCCUUUACUCGGGCAGGAGGAGAAGGCGCGGGUCAUCCAGACGCUGCUGUUCGUCGCCGGGAUCAACACGCUGAUCCAGAGCUUCCUCGGCACGCGCCUCCCCGCCGUCAUCGGGGGCUCCUACACCUUCGUCGCGCCCACCAUCUCCAUCAUCCUCGCCGGCCGCUACAGCGGCAUUACCGAUCCCCACGAGGUAACCUCGCCUUCCUCUUCCUCCCCGGCCCACCGAGCCUUUCAUCGUUUCAAUAGACUUUGGUUUUAAUCUGGUGGACCUGUGGCUGCAGAAAUUCCUGCGCAUCAUGCGGGGGACGCAGGGAGCGCUCAUUGUGGCCUCCACCCUCCAAAUCAUCAUGGGCUUCAGCGGCCUUUGGCGCAUUGUCGUCAGGUUGGUUUCAGGUCCCAGUGUCGGGAUGAAUUCAUCAGUGUACCUUGUCUCAUCCCAUCUGUGCUAACUCCUGUUCCUUCGAUCUUGCAGGCUGCUGAGCCCGCUAUCUGCUGCUCCCCUGGUCGCGCUUGUCGGAUUUGGGCUCUAUGAACUGGGAUUUCCAAGCGUAAGUCUUUAUACAUGUACGUUAGACCUGCAUGAAUGUAACAACAGUGAGAUAGUAACAUGAAUUUGCCCUGCAGGUUGCCAAGUGUGUUGAGAUUGGUCUUCCUCAGAUUUUACUGCUUGUGGCUCUUUCUCAGGUAUGAUGCAUCAGGAUGGCUGCUGUGUGAUUUUAACCGUAAAAGUAGCUGCAUCCUUGAGAACGAUGUGUGAUCUUGGUUUUCUCUUGCAGUACAUACCGCAUCUGGUCCCGUUACUGGGUACUGCCUUUGAGAGGUUUGCUGUCGUAAUGUCCAUUGCCGUUGUGUGGCUUUACGCCUUCUUCCUGACAGUUGGUGGCGCGUAUAAGAAUGCUGCUCCCAAAACCCAAUUCCAUUGCCGUACUGAUCGAUCUGGGCUUGUUGGGGGCGCUCCAUGGUAAUAGCAUGCAUCCUUUUGCAUGUUCCUUCACUACUUAAGAGAGCUUUAUAUGUUUGCAUACAUAUUCUGAAUGCUACAUCCUGCAAAGAGCCUGCUUCGCCGCUAGAUUGAUAGAUUAUUCAUCUACAAAUUGCAGGAUAAGUGUACCUUAUCCAUUUCAGUGGGGAGCACCAACCUUUGAUGCCGGUGAAGCUUUUGCUAUGAUGGCAGCUUCCUUUGUUGCUCUUGUGGAGGUAUAUUAUUCAGAUGAACCCAUGAUUUUUUUUGAAGGAAGAACCCAUGAUAUUUAUUAGAACCCAUGAUAUUUAUUUACAGCUUUCUCAUCCUAGAUAGUACUGCAUAUCAUCAAGUUAAUACUCCUUACUGCAUGAUGCAGUCUACUGGUGCAUUCAUUGCUGUUUCACGGUAUGCCAGUGCAACUCCAUGCCCUCCUUCUGUCAUGAGUCGUGGCAUUGGUUGGCAGGUACCAUCUAAAUUUCUCUAUUUGCAGUUAGUGUAUCUGAAAAUUUGAACGACAUGUGAGCAUCUAACUGUCUUAUCUAAUUAAUUUGUCUAUCUGUCAUUCCAGGGGGUUGGCAUUUUGUUGGGUGGCUUAUUUGGAACAGCUAAUGGAUCCUCUGUAUCUGUGUGAGUAGAUUCUAGAUGACUGCUACAACUAGUUUUUAUAGUGUGAUGAUGUGAUCUGAAUUCUACUCAGUAUUGAUCUGAGUUUGCAUUGUUCUGAAACAGUGAAAAUGCUGGGUUGCUCGCUUUGACACGCGUUGGUAGCAGACGUGUUGUGCAGAUUUCUGCUGGAUUUAUGAUAUUCUUCUCCAUUCUUGGUAAGCCUCUGCUUUUAUGUGAAUUAUGUAUUCAACUUCUGGCCAUAAUACUGUGUUAAGUACCUAGCUUAAAGCCUGGAACUGCUUAAGUUUGUUACCUGGACAAAUACAAUCGAGCAGAGCAAUCCAUACUAUGCCCCUGCACUCCUGACAACAAUCAACUGUAUCUAAUGGUAGUGAUUUUGUGCUGCCUUUGUAGGGAAAUUUGGAGCUGUUUUUGCAUCAAUUCCUGGCCCAAUUAUUGCAGCUAUAUAUUGUCUUCUCUUCGCAUAUGUUGGUAUGUAGCACGAAGCCACGAAGUAAAUUGUAAACAUCGUAUAUUUUUUAUAUCAACUGGUUGAAUAAUGAUAGAAGCAAUGCGUUCUGCUGUACAAACAGGUAUGGCAGGUGUUGGGUUCCUUCAGUUCUGCAACCUGAAUAGCUUCCGGACAAAGUUCAUCCUGGGCUUCUCUUUGUUUAUGGGUUUGUCGGUGCCACAGUAUUUCAACGAAUACACUUCUGUCGCAGGCUUUGGUCCAGUACACACACAUGCCAGAUGGGUAAGAUCAAGCUCGAAUCAAAUUUUGGUUUUCUUACAAUAAGAGCAACAAGCUGACAGCUUGACAGAUAGUUCUACCAAAUGCACAUUCAUGCCGCCUUGCACUGUGAAGUUAGAUAUUAUUUCAUGGUGGUUUACAGACAUCAUGCUCCUUUGAUGUUGUAGCCUGGUGCUAUAUUUGAUUUUUGUGUAUAAUAGUUAAUAACCAAACAUCACAUGUCAAAGCAAGUGUUUUGAGUAUUGCCUUCUACUCACUCCGUCCCAAAUAACUAUUCGUUUUGGCUUUGACUUUUCUAGAAACAUAACUUUUGUUACGUAUCUAGACAUACAUACAUCUAGAUCCAUAUUAAAAGUUUUGUAUCUAGAAAAGUCAAAACGAAUAGUAAUUUGGGACGGAGGGAGUAGUAGUUUUAGUGCUUUGAUACACUGAAGAGCUGCAACCUAACUGCUGUUUUCUCUUCUGCUCAUGUCCAGUUCAACGAUAUGAUCAACGUGGUAUUCUCCUCCAAAGCAUUCGUCGGAGGCGCUGUAGCAUAUUUUCUGGACAACACCCUGCACAGGCGUGACGGCACCGUGAGGAAGGACCGGGGGCACCAUUUCUGGGACAGGUUCAGGUCGUUCAAGACAGACCCGCGCAGCGAGGAGUUCUACUCCCUACCAUUCAACCUCAACAAGUUCUUCCCAUCCUUCUGAUCCGCAGCCGGUAACAGAAAACGGGAAAAAAAAUUGUACGGUUAGGUCGUUGACGAAGUGAUUUUGGCGAUGCCACGCCCACGCUGUUGUCUCUCCUAUAUUCUAAUGUACCUCCUGAGUUCUGAAUCUUGUAGAGCUCAGCUUAACUAUGGACGGGAUGGAGGAAUGGCUCGGUAUUUUUGGAUGUAAAUUGGGUUGGAUUCCCGGUUAUGUCAAUAAACUGAAAAUGCCUAACUUCUUUCUACCUCAUCAAUCGUUCUGAUGCAUGUAUGUUAGGGGGUGUUUGAUACUUAUGUAUUAAACUUUAGCAGUGUCACAUCAGAUAUUCGGAUGCUAUUUAGGAGGACUAAACAUGAACUAAUUAUAAAAUUAAUUGCAGAAUUCUAGGGUUAAUUCGCGAGACGAAUCUAUUAAGCCUAAUUAAUCCAUCAUUAGCAAAUGGUUACUGUAGCACCACAUUGUCAAAUCAUGGACUAAUUAGGCUUAAUGGACUAAUUAGGCUUAAUAGAUUCGUCUCACGAAUUAGACUCCAUCUGUGCAAUUAGUUUUGUAAUUAGCCUAUAUUUAAUACUUCUAAUUAGUAUCAAACAUCCAAUGUGACAGGUGUUAAACUUUAGCGGAUGCUCUCCAAACACUCUGUUUCCUGAUGCAUGAUGCAGUGAUGCUCUUACUACGGGAAAUUUUAUCUUCCUUGAGAGUUCAGAGGAAUCAGGUAGGCGACAAGCUGAACACAUGAGGAUGGUCUGAAUUCUUGAUCUGAAUGCACAGUUGCAGGCCAUGCUGGAGUGAUGGGGUGCUGCCAUUUGCAGAUUUCAGAUGAUUUCUGCAGCUCAUUGGUGUCGGCCUUCAGGUCGUCAGAGCCGAUUGCGCGUCCCUGCUGGAAACAAAAGACGGCGCGGUAUGAACUCACACGGCCACAUACCACGGUCAUGGUCAAAUCCAACAGCGUGAAUCUACCCUGAACUGUUGAUGUGAGGUAGCUGUACAACUAGAACGCCAGACCAUUUCAAAGUUCAAACUAUUAAUAUUUUUUAAAAAAACAUUGUGAGUGGCACAUGAUUUUGAGUCGCAUGCACGACCUCGUCAUCAAGUACCAACCGCUAGCAUGCAAAUCUUUUCAUUUUAAAAAAAUAGUACAAGUACAGAGUACUAACGUGCAAACAUGUGGGAAUUGUUUUUUUUUCGCCUCUUUUUACAGAUUACGAAAUCGUAAAAUAGCCGCCGACGCUAAACGUGAUUGAUGUUUACACGAGAACAUUUUUUUAUUUUACUCCAUUUGACGCGUCAAAAACACUGAACCCGAGAGAUCUGUCGCGCUCUAAAAUCCAAACUAAAUUCAAAUUCUCUGAUGGUUCGUUCCUCUGCUGUACUCUGAUUUCUUUUCUGACAACAACAUUAUUCAUUAAUUAUUUUUUUACUUUUAGACCCCCUAAUGAUUGAGUAAUUAUUAAAUAACUACUAUUUCGAUCCCCUCCCUACCGCGCGUUUACGCCCACGUCCUCUGCCCGUUUCCUUUCGGUUUCCUCCACCAUCUCUCUCACAUCAUCGUCGCCACCUCCAUUCGGGUCUCCGUUCCCUUCGGCCUCCGAUCCCUCCACGAGUCCAUCCGAAUCCGAGGUACGCACGCACGCGCAAUUCGCCGCGGCUCUCCCCUCCAUUACGCGAUCCGAUCGAUCUGCGCGGCGUCGCGUCGCGUCGCAGUUCCUUCGCUCUCUUAUUCGGUGGAUCUCGGUGGCGCGCGUGGCUCCUGCAGGAUCCGCGGCGGCGGCGGGCGGGCGGGCGGGCGGUGGUCGGCCGGCGAUGGCGCACCGGGUGGACAACGAGUACGACUACCUAUUCAAGAUCGUGCUCAUCGGCGACUCUGGCGUCGGCAAGUCCAACAUCCUCUCACGGUUCACCCGCAAUGAGUUCUGCCUCGAGUCCAAGUCCACCAUCGGCGUCGAGUUCGCCACUCGCACCCUCCAGGUAAACCCACUCCCUCCCUGCCCUUGAAUCUCGGGACGUGAACGCGAGAGAUUUAUUGCAUUCGAUGCGUUCUGGAUGCGUUCUGGUCAGAGACGAUUGUUUCGGCUUGGGGCUACGGAGACAGAAAUUUGGGAUAGCUAAAUCACUGCGGCUGAUGGGUCUAUUAUAAUGAUUUGGAGGAUGUGGUGCGCUAUGCACAGCAAGAGUAUCAGCAUGUAUCAGAUCUGUGAAGUUUCUUGUGUUGUUAUGAAUGAUUGUAAAUGAUAGGUACAAAUCAACUUUGUAUGGAUAAUAUUUAUGCAUGCAGAGAAGAAAACUAUGAAUUAUGGUUGGGGGUAUAUAUAGGACUAUUUAAAUUUUGAAGUCUAGACUAGAGCAGGCGUGUUGCCAUGCAGUAAGCAGUAUUUGCAGCUUUUCCCUAGUUUUGGUUCUUAUUGCAGUUUAAGCUCUAACUGAAUGGUCGAAUAAGCAGUGAAGCACUUUACAUAAAGACUCGCCUGUGGGAUUUUCUGUCCUCAGCAAGUAAUCUAGUACUGCUGCUCUUUAAUGAAUAUUUUGUCUACACCAAUGAUUUUGAGUCCACACUUGCAACAGUUAAACUAAUUACCACCGUAAAAAAAAGUUGGUUGUAUUGAGUUGCAUGCACAUUGUUGAUGUGUCCUUCAGUUUGGAGGUUUCUCAGCUUGUCUGUCUAAACUCCAUCCAAAUACGCAUAAUUUGCUGUUGUGCUUGUCAGUUUUGUCUGUGGCUUCAAUAUCUAUUGUUGUUCCCCACUUUUUAUUUGGUUGUUUUGUCUCAUUAUCCAAUAACAAGCUGGAGCAUAGACUCAUUUGCUGGUUGUCUUCUACUGUUUUAAGCUAUAAUGCUAUGUUAUUUUAAAUUCCUGUAUUCUAGUUUACUGACAUGAUUUUAUUCCAACUGGAGAAAAUGUUGAUAUACUGGUGGUUUAAUAGUUCUGCCAUAUGUUGUUUUCGAGUUCACUGAUACAUUGCCUGGUGUAUUUACAAAGCAUGCACAAUAUUGUGUUUAUUAUCGUUGCUUGCAAAUCAAUUAUGAAACUAUCACUUUUGCCAGUGGUAGCAAACUGGUUUGUUCAGACUGGUAUGAAAAUGAGCAAUUGCUCAGAGCAUACAUGUGUAUGUAUCUGUAUCUUGGCCAGGAAUAUUUCAGAACAAGGAACUGCCUGGCGAAUGGAUAUCAUGACUUCAUGAGUUAAUGAUUGUGCUGGUACCAUGUACUCGAUUUGUCCUUGCAUGUCAAAGGUGGUCUGUUUUUGUCAAGACAAGUUCUUUGAUUAAUUUAGUACGUAUAAGAAAUUUGGGUGCUGUUUGACUGUACCAUCUUGGCUUUAUAUUCUAUUGUACUGAAAAACCUUGCAAUGUUUUGUUGGCAAUAAAUGAUCGUCACUUUUGCUUAUUUUUCCGCUUCAUUGUAUAGGUAUUUCCACUGUUCUCUUUCGGCAAGCAAUUUAAAAUUAAGUUUUUCUAACACUGUCACUGUGUUACUUGUUCUAACAGAUAGAAGGGAAGACCAUCAAAGCUCAGAUAUGGGAUACUGCUGGGCAAGAGAGGUACCGUGCGAUCACUAGUGCUUACUACAGAGGAGCUGUGGGUGCACUUUUAGUCUACGACAUCACAAAGAAGCAGACAUUUGAAAACAUUCAGAGGUGGCUUCGUGAGCUCCGUGAUCAUGCAGACUCCAACAUUGUGAUCAUGAUGGUUGGUAACAAAUCGGACCUGAACCACCUGAGAUCGGUUCCAGAGGAAGAUGGUCAGGCAUUAGCGGAGAAAGAAGGCCUACACUUCCUGGAGACAUCAGCACUUGAAGCCCUGAAUGUUGAGAAGGCAUUUCAGACUAUCCUCACUGAUAUUCAUCAAAUCAUAAGCAAGAAAGCACUUGCUGCACAGGAGGCAGCAGGCAGUGGACCUCCAGGUCAAGGAACCACCAUCAAUGUUGCUGAUUCGUCUACCAACACGAAGAAAGGAUGCUGUUCUUCCUAGGAGCAAACAAAGAUAUGUUGAUGAUGCAAAAGGAAAGUAUUAUGGAUCUUACAACACUCUAGGUGUUAUGUAGGUUGCUUUGACUCCUUUUGGCCUGUAACUCUGGUGGGGUUGUAAUCACAAUUCAUACUUGUGCAAAGAAAUUCCAAUCUCAGGUAGAUAUGAUGUGUAGUUCCGAAAUUUUGGUAGAGACUGGUGUUUGGCAGACUUCCUUUGAGAGUGUGUUUUCUUUCAGUGUUCUAUCCUAAUAUAGUCUUUCUACUGAAAAACAAAAUCAGGUAUUUCUUGUAUUUCUACAUGAGCUUGUGGUGUUAUCCGACAUUUUGAUUUCUGUGCUAGAACAUCGAUCCAUGUUCCAAACUACACAGCUCAUGUGUUCUCCAUGGUUUUGGCCAUUGUGUUGGUUCAUUCACUUGUUGCCUAGACUACGUGUGAUCCCCUCCAAUAUCAUGCGUACCAUACUUCAGUUUUGUUUUCGUUAUGCAUCAUGAUCUGUCUCUGUUAUUCAUAGUUAUUCCAUUCAGACAGAAUCAGUUCUAACCUAUCUACUUUAGCAUAAUCCUCUUUUCAGUUGCACUGUAAAGCUCCAUCUUCGCUGUCAGUAGUGAGCGGCAAUGCAUAACUCGUGCAAAGUACCUCAACCCCCUUUCAAACUUUUGAUAUAUUCAUCUAUGGCUUUAUAUCAUUAUAUCACUCUCACCUGAUCCAUUUUGCAACGAUUUAUCCUUUUCUGCUGGGAGAACGACAAGUCAUAGUUUGCACAGCAUUUUUCUUGUGAACCUUAAAAGAUAAGUGUGGCCAGUGUCUGUUACCCUUAACUGUGAUUGAUACCCCUUGUUUCUGUCUUUGCAUCCUUACAUCACUCUCAGCUGAUUCAUUUUGCAGCAUUGUUUUCGCUUUCUGCUAAGAUUGGGACAGAUAAUUCAGAUGCCCAGUCUCUCCGAAAUCAGCUUAUCUUACCAGCAUUCUCUGGAGAACCAUCAAAGAUUAGGCUGGCCAAUGUCCUUUCAGCGAAAUCUUGGUAGAGACUAUCGUUCGGCAGACUUACUACAGUUCAGAGCAAUGCCGUUUUUCUUUCAGUAAGCUAAUCCUAAUAUGUUCUUAAUUAUCCGAAAACUAAAAUCAGGUUUGCAUUUCUAAUUCUACAUGAGUUUUUCGAAACCUGAAGCACAUCCUUCCAUUUUUUUUGUGUUUCCACGUUAUGUUCUUCCAGGCUGCACAGCUUCCACGCUAUUGGCUCAUUGUCUCGUUGCUUCAACUACACUGCUUGCGAUGUCCCUUCUCACGUGAACAAUACUCCAGUAUUCGUGUAGCGUCAUGAUUUGAGCUUAUCAUGUGGUUCAUUGUUGCUAAUGCAUUCUGACAGAAUCAGUUCUCUGAUCUCAGCUUUAGCAUAAACUUCUUUCCAGCUUGCAUUCUGGAACUGCAUCUUCGCUGUCAGUAGCAACCAUGCUUAACGCUUCUUGCUACGGCGACAUUUUCAACCUCUUCAUGCAUGGCUUAUGUCCUCAUUCCGCGUUGCCCGGUCUUUCAAAUUGCUCUCUUAAGUUGACGUCGAAUUCUGCAGAUGCCCGGUCUUUCAGAGACCAACCUGCUAACAACAACAUUUGAAUAGUCUGAAGAACACAAGGACCUUCCAAUAUAAGGUAGGAAGCACCAAAUUCCUUCUUAAUCAUGGUUUAGCAUUUGUAUCACUCUCAGCCGGUUCAUUUUGCACAAUCUAUCGCUUUCUGCAAAGACUCCUGCACAUUAUUCAGAUGCCCAGUCUUUCAGAAAUGAGAUCUGACAGUAUUACCAAAUCUGAAGAGCAUUAUCUGAAUUCUGAAGAACGAAACGAUCGAAAACGAACCCUUGUGAUUUGUCAAGUGUGAGUGCACUCCCUACCAACAACUUGUGAUCUCCAUUUCUUGCAGCUGCUGCUGCCGCGAAGAAGGAAGAACAUGUUCUGUCCACACAAAAAAAUCAGUCAAUCUUUUCAGGCAACGGGCACUUGCAUAGAUGCUUUGCCGCAGAAAAUGGUAGCGAAUGAUGAGAUCGUGCGGGUCGUCCGUCAACUGGAGAGCCUCCUCAAAACCGGAUUCGCAGCGACGCAAAACGUUUUUGCCGAAUCCUGUUCUGUCCCCUCGCCGAGAAUGUGCACGGCCAUUGAUGAUAGAACUUGCUUUCUUCAGACCUCUUUUUUGCAGGCCAAAGCAAAGCAGUUCUAGAAACCUCAGUCUGGCUUUGGCUCGUAGGAUCCAAGUCCAAUACAUCCCUCCGAUUCCAGAUUUCCAGUGGCAGGCAGCCUUGGCCCUGAUCGUGAUCUAUCAUGCAGGUGGCCAUUUGUCAUGUGCUUUAUUUGUAAGGAGCCUCGCUCCCGGGGUUACAAUGUUACAUGGGUUCUGACUCGCCCCUUCUUGGAUUGGUUGGCAUUGCUGAUCAAGGCAAAAACACUGAUCAAAUAUCAAUUGAACCAAGGUAGAAAAUUACCCUUCAUGAUGGAUUGAUGUGAGGCGCACUUUGGAGAAGCAAGUGGGUGUCUGAUGCAAGUGCAACAAGGUGAGCUAACUCGUUACUGGCUACCACAAAUUCUUAUCCCCAAAUGCGCCAAUCAUGUAUGAUAUGUCGCCAAUUUGGUACUCCGAUGGUUACAUUCUCCCAUAGAAAAAUGGCUACAUUCUGAUUCUUUGAAUAUAUCCUAUUAAGAAGCGGUUGUGUAGGCACCACCUUGCCUGUCUUGGAAAAGAAGGUCCAUCCCACGAUCCAUAUGCUUGUCCUCAUCAGGGGUUAGACUCACUAGACCCAUGCUGGAAAUUCACGUUGGCCAGGACAAUAAAAAAUACUCACUUGUGGCUGAGGUGCAAUCUACCACUGAAUAUUUAUUCCAAUUCCUCUCUAGAUGCAGGUUUGGUCGGUGUAGGCCAGGGGUUGACCAGGGGAUUACCCACUAAAUUUGGAGCUAAUCAUUUUGCUUCCAUCAUGAGAUUUGGGUUGGGAAUUUCAUGCUCCACGAUCUAAGGCGCAAAAGUGAAUUUGUGCACAUCUUGGUGAGCAUGGUGUUGAUUUAAGACAACUAUUAUAAUAAGACUCUCUGCAUUGCAGUUGUGCAAAAUGGUGACAACAUGGUACACAGGUGAGAUGAGAAAAAGAAGGGCACAAGGUUAACCUUAUUUACCACUGCCAAACUAACUCUCGGUUGCAUUUUGUUGGAACUGAGUACCAAGGUUAGCUCCAAGAAUUACAAAUCACAGUCCCUUCAGCUAAUACAAAUUGCAAUCAGAUACAGUAUCUAGCUCAAGCAUUUAUCUUUCUACUCUUACUUACAGGCCACUUCAAAAAGGCCUAUCAAUCCGUAUCUUCAGCGCAUCUAAUCUGAUUGGCGUUUCAAAUCAAUCAUGUAAUCCUUUCAGCACAUUGUACACGACCAAAUUUCCAAUCAAUCCAUCUGGCUCAUAAUGACCGCUAACGGACCGAAGAAAAAAGAUACCGGUAUGUCAUUAUAUAGCCAAAGCACAUGUCAACAGUCAACUGCUGUUGUUUCAGAUAGCGCCAACGAUCGACACGUGGAUCGGCGCCACUAUCGGCAGAUUAGUGAUGCACACCCUCAAUAUAGUAUCCUUUCAACAUGACGAUUUGACAGUAGUUUGGAGAGUGAUGAUGACCAUAAUGGGAGAGCACGCCCACUGUGACCGGACCGGUACAAAUGAUGAUUAUCGUCCUGCUCCCACAAUGCCUGGACCGAUCAAUCCAAAGUUCUUGACAUCAGCUAGCUCAAGAGAUACAGAGGUGCCAUGCAUAGCAGUCCCAUCUGUUUACAAACAGUCACUAGCAAAAUAGUUUGUACCUGAAGCAGUUUCCGGUGGCGGCUGAAGAUCUGCAUUAGCAUCCACUAACUAAUUAGCUCGGUACGAGCUUGCUGUGCAAAUUUCUGACGCAUUUCUUUCAUGUGCUUGAAUUAGUUAGUUGGAUCGAGGCAGGCACUGACUAAAGCAAAACCAAAGUGGUGGUAGCAAAGGUGUGGUGUGGAUCGCAUCCAUCCAUCGAUUGAUCCUUCACCGAUUGCACCCAACUCGACGUUGUCGGCAAUGCAAGUGCAUGCAUGGAUCCGGCCACUAAUUUUCCAGCAAGUUCGUUCGAUGCAUGGAACUACUGCUAAUCUGGGUUAAAAAAACAAAAGUAGUGAUGCUCAUAUAUGGAGCAAGGUAGUGGUUAGCUUAACUUGCAGUGAAUGCUAUAAAUGGGCACAUGUCAAAUUUGCAGUAUGAUUUGUGGAUGAAAUCAUUCGGUUCGGUCAGAGAUAAAAUGGAUGUGAUUAGCUGCGAGCUGAGUGACAGACGAAUGGCACAUCAAGUAGUUAUCGUCUGACCUUGAAAAUGAUUGUGCUCCACCGCUGCACUUGGUCGAUCAGUGCGUGCAUUGUUCAUCCUUUUUCGUCAAAUCUCAGUUCUUCCGGCAGUGUAUCGUUGGCUGUUGUCAACUUUCUUUUCGGUCGACAAUGUGUACUGGAGCAAAUCCCAUCCAUGAUCCAACUUUGACUGGUUUCAAAUUUCAAACACUGAGGACGACCACUAAUAGCUACUUUUUAGGUUUAUGCAUAGCUAUACAAUUUUUCAGAUAAUUCUUACAAGUUGCUGCAUUUUUCUGCGCUGCAAACAUGACGGUAUUAACGUUUUAAUUACAAAGCUAGAGGCGUCCACUUGCAUUUGUGAUCAAAAUAAGACCAGAACUUCUUUUUGCAAAAAUAAAUAGCCUUUCUAGCCACAUAGCCUUCAUGAUUAGAGAGAUUCAAGGAGUAACAAGAAGUGGUGUAAGCAAUAUGACAACUCAAAGUGAGAGAAAUAAAAGAUAGAAGGCAAAGAAUCACGAUGGUGUAUGACAAUAUGACACACUAUGACACUAGAUAGUAGAUCAAUCCAUUCGAUUGCAAAGCAAGACAAAGCUUGCAAAAUUUGAAGUAAUUAACUAUGAAUAAUGCCAAAUAUGAAUUGAUGAAUGAAGGUUAUAUUAUCUUUUAUAUUCAUCAAAAACUGCUAUAUUUAAAACAUUCAGAUUUUUUUAGGCAGCUUAAAAGCAUAUUAUAAUUUAUUUAUAUAUUUCAUUCACAGUUCUUGCUACAGUUACCCACUGCAAAUUAGUAUCCUUUUUACAAAUACUAUUGCAGCUAUUUAUCAACCAAAACUAGUUACUAUUUGUCGAUUAAAAGGAAAACACACGAGAUUAGAUCAUCCAGUUUACUGCAAAUCAUUUUUUUUUUGCUACUGAUGAUACACCCAUUACGAAAAAUCGGUGUCGCAUCAAUGGAAUCCACACAUAAUAUUCGGGUGGAAGUACUUGUCGCACAACGGUAAAAUCGACAUUUUCCCCCCUCGGAUAUGGGCUACCUAGGCGAUAUAUUCAGGAAUAAGAAUGUGUUGAUUAGAAUGCACAAUCACUUCUGAUUGACCCUUCAUGUUAUAGUAGCCUUCUAGGUUUACCCACCAACUCUUUUUUUUAGAAAAAAAAGGUUUACCCACUAACUCAAUAUGAUAAUCGGCUCUAAAAGUGGCGUCAUCUUGAUCAAAACUAAGAAAAUUGACCAAGCUAUGGGCUUCAAAAUCCGACUUAUUAUACUCAGACCCACUUGAGGAAACGAAAAUUUUAAUAAAAGAGAGAAAGUAUCCUACCGUAUUUGGUUCUCUAGAGACAGACAGAUUCUUGAAAAAGCUAUCUUCUAGAGAUUGUCAAUUAGAGAUGGAGGUUGGCCAAUCUUUAAGCUCGGUUACAGUUGUUACAAGACGUGAAAAAAAAGAAAAGAAACCACCCCCUUUGUUUGAAACAUAGCAUAUGCCUUGUUCAUUAAUACAAAGAUAUAUUAUUUCAUACUCCAAUAUAGAAUGUAUCUAUCAAGAUUUAAUCUAAUAUUUUGUAAAUUGUAGGAUAUAGCUUUAAUAUCAUUAGAUUCAUAUUUAGAAGCAUUUCUAUAGUGUUGACCUUAUGGACACAUACCAUCUCAUAUGGAGUAGGAGAUAUUAACUGUUACUAGCGUUAGAGACCAGGUCAGUCAAAUCGAACCUUACAUUUGUAAAACGGAAGAAGUAUUUUUAAAAGUAACUUCGCAUGCUUGCAUGCAUACAUUAUGAAACGGACCCGAAUUCCUAUUUCUGAGAAUUCAAGCCUACGCACCUCGAUGAUAAUUUUAGGAAGGCUAUCACGUGCGAAUCCCUAUCUCAGGUAGUACAAACCCAUACCAACAUAAAAACAGAGAGAGAAACAGAAUACAAACAUCAUAGGUAACAUGAGUACGAGUACAUCUCAGCGGCACAUGUCGGUACAAGUCCAUCAGGACUGAAUCAAGAAAGGUAAAAUAUCUACGCAGCGGAAACAUAAGCUAUGGCGAACUCCAUCUCCAGAGGCAACUCGAGCGAAGAAUGGUCUCUAGUCUUCCCAACCGUUGUUGUCGAAGUCGUAGUCGGGCUCCGACCCUGAAAAGCCACAAUCUACCUGAGAAGCAGGUAGGCCAUGUCAACUCCCAAAAGCAGCAGAGCCAAGGAAACAGGGGAAAUAUACUAUAUGCAUGGAUAAACCUAUAUAUGGUUGUAGAGGUUUAUGCAGCAACUGCAGCAGCAAUCAAGGAAGCAACUAUGCAACAUCAUCUCCGAGGUCAACACCUCAAACAAGGAAGUCGCCACAAAUCACCGGAUCCUUUACCCAAGGGUCCAGCACCCAAACACACUAGGCAAUGUGAGAACUCCCUCCCCUCACAUCUCAAUGGCAAACGCCAGCCUAUCUCAAAAAGGGGAAAGGUGGAAGUACAAGAGAAGUCUAGUAAGAAGUAGCGGUAGUCAACAACACUGUCCAUAACCAGUGGACACGGACUAUAGCUAUAGCUUUAUACACUCUGCAGAGGUUCUAUAACUGUAUCCGCACGGAUGGAGCUUGAACGGUAGUGAACCGUCCAAACCCCGCCUAGCAGCCGGAGCCCUAGUAAGUGGAUAGCUCUCUCCUGUUUCCUCGAUUCUGGAACCGUCCUCAGCUGUAGGGCACACCGUCACCAAUGAGGACCUCGAAGCUAUGAAACCUACCCACACUAGGGUGCAGUCUAGUUAGAGCAAGUCAACGCCUCGAACUCCUUACACGAUCCUCCAAUCCACCUACAAGCAGAGCACUAUCCACUACUAGUCUUGGACCGAACCCCGCCCAUAACGUAAGCGAGUGGUAAGUAUGAAAAGUAGCUGAUGUGACUGGUGGUAAAUUGACUCGGUCCUUAAGCGGCUGAGAGCGAGCACUCAGCCAACAAGUAUGUGCCGAAGCACUAGCAAUGUACAAGUACGCCACCUGCUCCUUAGUAACAAAUAAGGUACCCACCACAGGUAUGGGGUAUAGAGAGAGUCCAGAAAGCUCUCUCUUGGCAAGGGACUCCUUAGUACCAAUCAUGGCUCGCUCCCGCCAAGAACACAUCAAGGAGUCACACUCACCCAAAACACACGCGAGAGUAUUCAAGGAAUCCCAUCACCAAAUCCAUGGCAAAUACGCAUCCAUAACUCAAAAGCAUAUAAAUGGAUAAAUGAGCGUUGGACUAGCUAGGGGUCCGUAGUUAGUCCACAAAAGUAGGUAACCAAGAAAAACAGGAUUAAACAAUUAUCAAGGCAUGACUAAAAAUAUUAGCUAUGCAAUCCAUCAUCACCAAGCAAUAUAAGUAAAGCACUAGCAAAUAAGCAUGCAUAGGAUCUAUAUAAUUGGGAGUGACAUGAUACUUUGUCCGUAGUCGAUUGGGUCCUCCUCGGUGUAGUCGAGGUCUUGAAGGUCUUCCUGGUCGUAGCUCGGAUUUGAACAGAACAAGAUACGACGAAACGUAAAUUAAACGGCAUUACAUCUAGGCAAAAACUCCAAUAAAGCCAAAUUUAGAAGAUCCAAAUAAUACCAAACUAGCAACAAACAACACGGGCUCGAUUUUACGAAUUUAAUGCAACUACUUUCGGAGUUAAAAUAAAUUAGUUAUGAAUUUUUAAAGAUUAUUAAAGGAUUUAUUUAAUUAUUUAGUAAUUUCAAACAAAUAUUUAUUAAAUGUGACAUGUGUCAGCUUGUGGUUGCUCCACGUGGCACCCCCUCGGGUUGCCACGUGUCCUGCUAACGUCAGCGUUGACCUGAUCAACGGUCAACAUGGGCCCAUCGGGUUAGUGGGCCCACAAGUGGGCCCGACCAGCCACAUCAGCGCCACGUGGUGCCUACGUGGCAGCCACGUGGGCGGCGGCAUGGCGUGCGGGCAACGGUGAGUGCACGUAGGCGAGCGCGGCACAGCACAGCGGGCACACACGGGCGCGGCGUGGCAGGUGCAAGCGAGCACUGGCGCGGCACGGUUGGGCAUCCCUUGGUCGCGGCAUGGCCGCGGCGGCCCACGGCGAGCGGCGGCAUCUACGGCUACGCUAAGGCUACGACACAACUAACAGCAAGGGGAAAGGAGGAGGGAUGCGAGGCUCACGGCAAGGCGGGUGAAGAGGAAUAGCGUCGGCGGCAGCUUCCUUCGGCGGCGGCGUGGCGGCUCCCGCGGGCAGACUCCUCCUCUUGCUCUUCUUCUCUUCCUCUUCUCCUCCUUCUCCUUCAUCUCCUUCUUCUCCUUCAUCUCCUUCUUCUCUUCUUCCCCGCGACCCUCCUCUCACUUUCUCUCUCGGCGAUGGCGGCGCAAGGGGAGAACCCUGGGCGGCUAGGGAUAGUGAGGCUGGAGGGAGGGGCGCGGCUCCUUUUAUAGCGGCGAAGAGGCGGUACAAGGGCACAAUUGUGCUCCGCCAUCCAUCCUCGGUGUCCGCGCCUGAUGAUGGCGUGGCACCAAUCCGGCAACUCUGCGGCUAGGAUUAAGGCGCGGGCGGCGGGCGCUCCGGGGGCACGGAGGGGAAUUCCCCUCUGCGGAAGCCUCUAGAAGGGGACACGGAGGCGCCUCCGGUCGGGGGUGUGCGCCAGCGCGACGCCCUUGCCCGCCCGUGAGCGUGCACGUACCGGGCGCGUGACUCGUACGGGCGGGAGGUGGAAGAAAGGCGCACAGGGCACACCGACAGGUGGGGCCGGUUGGUCAGCGAGAGAAGGCACGGGCGAGCGCGCAGAACGCUUGCGCGAGCGUGAGCUGGGCCGAGCAAGCGACUUGGGUGGUGGCGGCCUGCUGGGCAGCGCAGAGCGGUGCGGGCGAGCUAGGCCGAGCAAGCACGAUGCGGGCGAGCUGCGGGGCGGCGCGUGGUUGAGAGGAGAGGUAGGUUAGUGGGCCAGACCGGCUCAGCUUAGCGGGCCGGUCCAGUGGGCUGGGUUAGUUUAGGUUAGUUUUUAUUUAGUUUUAGAUUUAGAGUUAGAUUUAGAUUUUAGUUUGAAUUUUGAAUUGAAUUCAAAAUUCAAACAACACUUGAACAUGAACUCCAAAUAAAAUCCAAAAGAUCCAAAUCAAGCCACACAAAUUUUUAAAUGGGAUUUAGGGAUGAGAGAGAAAUUAUCUAGUUUUUCAAAUGAGCACACAAUUCGAACAAAAAGUUUUAAAUUUUUGCAAAAUUCACUCAUACAAAUAUUACAAAUUUUUUUUUGAAUAUUACACAUUAAAUAUAGUAAGUCUUUGAAACGGCGACAAUGAUGUGCUGUGCAGUCAUAUUCAAUUGUUUCUUUACUGCAUCCAAGAUGGAAAUACACGCACCUUGUAAUUUCAAACGAGGAGAACACCAGAUUCAGGCAACCACACUCAUUUGCGUAGUUCAAGCUGUUUGCUCGGCCAGACAAGCCCCAUUAAAACCUUUGUCCUCGGACACCCGAGACGCUGGAAACAAACAGCUGGAUACCUGCCUGCGCGUAUAAACAGCUCAGUUUGCUUGCUUCCAUGAUCACAGUGGCAAGAGAUCCAAGCGCACCACCGCGGCGCGGGCUGCAGGAUCCAGCCAUCCGGAUUGCAUCAUUGCUGAUGGCUGGCAUUUGGACCUCUGACUUCUGGACACGAACUGAACCGGCAAACAAUUGUAGCUGACAACCGGUGGUCUGCUACGGUUUGUAGCUGGCCUUGAAUGCAAUGCAGGCGUUACACAUAAUAGUCUCGUUCAUCUGCCUGCGAGGGACGCUAUACAUAGUAUAGUUCAGGUCAUGGCAGCACAUCUAGUGGACUCCGUGAGGAACAUAAGAACUUGCCAAAGAAAUCGAGAGAUAUUGUUGAAUACUACGCACUUAGCCUCGUAGUGUCAUGUAUAGAUUUCAAAAUAAGUUCCUUUUUAUGAGUAGAUCUACUGUAAUCUUCGCAACCCUUUUGCUCUGACUUGUUAAUUUUCGCUGAUACGACGUGGUACCAGACCCGCCGCUUUUGGUUCUGAGCCAGCCAGCGAUCUCGAUCUCCCCCAUUAGUGCUGCCUCUUUACUGAACAAUUGCCAGAUUAACAAAUUCCCUCCAUGGAUUCGCCUGCGUGGCCUUGCCUUUGCUCGAUUCGAUUCGUGCCCAUCGUCGUCCAUCUCCUCAACAGCGACCACCCGGUGCCGCAAUUCCGGCCGCUUUCCUAUUCCCCCGGCCGCUCCCGUGCUGCCAUGUGGGCCCCACAGGGGGGGGCGCUUAUAUAAAGGCCCUCCUCCCUUCUCGGCCUCUCAGACCACCAAACCAAGAACUAGAUAGAUCAUAGAUAGAUCAAACAAAACAACCCUCUCCUCUCUUUCUCUCUUGACGACUGGCAAAUAUAGGAAUCGAGAUUGACUUCAUGGAGAAAAGCUUGAGGGUUGGUUCCAUGGAGGACCGCCGGGAAUGGGUACACGACUCCUCCGUCGAUCACCGCGGGAGGCCGCCCUCCCGUGACGCCACCGGCUCGUGGAAGGCCGCCAUGUUCAUCAUCAGUGAGUACCCACUGUCCAGAGAUCAUCGAGCUCCAUGCACCGACCAGCUGUUUUUCUGUCGUCGGCGUGUUCUUCGGGUCGAUUAAUUCGUUCCUAGCUUUUCCUCUCCCAAAAUAGGUGAUCACUGAUUUCGUCUUCCUCCUUUGGUCGAUUGGCAUGCAGUGAUCGAGUUCAGCGAGAGGCUCAGCUAUUUCGGGAUCGCGACGAGCCUGAUGCUCUACCUCACCAAGGUGCUGCAGGAGGAGAUGAAGGUCGCUGCCAAGAACGUCAACUACUGGACCAGCGUCACCACGCUCAUGCCCUUGCUCGGCGGCUUCCUCGCCGACGGAUACCUCGGCAGGUUCUCCACCGUCGUCUGCUCCACCGUCGUCUACCUCCUGGUGAGCUGCUGAUGUCCCUUUGAAUUCUUCUCGCAUGCAUGCAUUGAAUCUCUCAGCUCCGUCCGUUGACGCGUGUUUUCUUGUCGUCGUUCCAGGGCCUGAUGGUCCUGGCCACGGCGCAGCUGUCGCCGAGGCUGACGCCCAACCACUCGCUGCGGCUCCACGAGACGCUCUUCUUCGUCGGGAUAUACCUGGUGUCCGUCGGCACCGGCGGGCACAAGCCGGCGCUAGAGAGCUUCGGCGCCGACCAGUUCGACGAGAGCCACGCGGCGGAGCGGGUCCAGAAGAUGUCCUUCUUCAACUGGUGGAACUGCGCGCUCUGCUCCGGCGUCCUGCUCGGCGUCACCGUCAUCGUCUACGCGCAGGACCGCAUCGGCUGGGGCGCCGCCAGCGUCGUGCUCGCCGCCGUCAUGGCCGCCUCGCUCGUCGUCUUCCUCGCCGGCUGGAGGUUCUACCGCUACAGGGUGCCGGAGGGCAGCCCGCUGACGCCGCUGCUCCAGGUCGUCGUCGCCGCCGUCAGGAAGAGGCGCCUCGCGCUGCCGGCCGACGCCGGCGAGCUGUACGAGGUCAAGCCGCAGAAUAUCAAGAAGAGGCUGCUUUGCCACACCCACCAGCUCCGGUAAGAACUGGCGUUGCUUUCCUUUCCUUUCGCCGGCCAUUAAAGUGGUCGAUCGUGAGGUGCAAUUGCUGGCUACAAUUGUUGCAACCGUCGCUAGUGACCAGUGAUUGCGAUACGAGUUUAUCCAAUUCUGCUUCUUUCGGAUGAACAAAUCCGGAGCAAAUCUUUGAAAAGCAAAAGGGAACACAGAAACCCAGCAUUACAUUUACGAUGAAAUGUUGAGUGUGACGCAUGUGGUACGUGACGUACGUGCAGGUUCCUGGACAAGGCGGCCAUAGUGGAGCACGACGGCGGCGAGGACGCGGCCGGGCCGUGGCGGCUCGCGACGGUGACGCAGGUGGAGGAGACGAAGCUGGUGCUUGCCAUGGUGCCCAUCUGGGUGGCGACGCUGCCCUUCGGCAUGGCGGCGGCGCAGGUGUCCACCUUCUUCAUCAAGCAGGGCAGCAUGAUGGACCGGCGCAUGGGCCCGCACUUCGUUCUCCCGCCGGCGUCCAUCUUCGCGCUGUCCGCCAUCAGCAUGAUCGCCACCGUCGCGGUCUACGACAAGGUGCUGGUGCCGUUCCUGCGGCGCGCCACGGGCGGCGAGCGCGGGAUCAGCAUCCUGCGGCGCGUGGGCAUCGGCAUGGUGCUCGCCGUGGUGGCGCUCGCCGUGGCGGCCGUGGUCGAGCGUCGGCGCCUGCUGUCCCCCUCGCCGGCGUCCAUGUCGGUGUUCUGGCUGCUGCCGCAGUUCGUGCUGAUCGGUGUAGGCGACGGGUUCGCGCUGGUGGGGCUCCAGGAGUACUUCUACGACCAGGUCCCCGACAACAUGCGCAGCCUGGGCAUCGGGCUGUACCUGAGCGUGAUCGGCGCCGGGAGCUUCCUGAGCAGCCUGGUGAUCACGGCGGCGGACAGGGCGAGCUCCCGCGGCGGCCACGCCAGCUGGUUCGCCAAGGACCUCAACCGUAGCAGGCUCGACCUCUUCUACUGGCUACUGGCAUGCAUCGGCGCUGCCAACCUGGUGUUCUACGCGUUGGUCUCCACCAAGUACUCGUACAAGACCGUCAGCGGGGCCGGCAAGGUCGGCGUCGACAAGUCCGGCGACAUCGAGUGCGCCGCCGCCGCCUAGCUGAUCGAUCGAUAGCUAGCUGGAGAUCAUUAGCGGCUGGUAAUUCGAUUUAUAAGAUGUGUAUGAUAAUGUGUACUAUGUCAUCAGUUAUCGUGUGUGUCACUCUAGCUAGGGUACAUGUCGUCUCAGUGUCACAAGGAUUUAAUUAGCUGGGAUGGAUCGUUCGUGAACUCGCGUGUCGUGGAAUGUACUUGUACAAGUGCGGUUUGGUUCGUUGUAGCGGCGAUUUACCAUGUGCGUGAGCUCGGUUAAUUCGUGACGAGGAAAUGCCAAAAAGAAAUGGAAUGGCAAACGGGCGCGGCGGGCCGGGGAACUCGUCUCCGACUCCGGCGACGGCGGAAUCGCGAAGGUUAGGGGCGACGUUCCAAUAUGACGAUAGAUGGGGAGAAGUUGGGCUGAAACGCUCGGCCCGAAAUUAUUUAGUUACCGGGUUGUUGGUCGCCACGUUGUGUUUGGUUGAGUUGGGCUGAAAACAAAUUGAUUGGCUCAGUUGGACCGGGCUGAAAAAAGGAGUUGGACGGAGAUCGAUCUAAACGACGCUAGCAAAUCGAGUACUAGUUAUAUUUUCAAAUAGCGCGUUUGGUUGUGCUGUGGUUUUUGUAAAAGUAGGUGGGAGCUGUGAGCUGUAAAAAAGUAGCUGUGAGCUAUGGGCUGUGGAAAAGUCGUUUGGUGGAACCGUUGUAGUUUUUGGAAACACUUACAAGCGAACCCUACAUGUCAUUAAUAGUCCACCCCACUCAACCCUCUCCCUCUCUCAUUGACAAGCGGAUCCCGCUCGUCAGCCCCUUCUUCCUCCUCCUCCUGUUGCCAGUACCAAAGGAGCUCGUGCGGCUGCUCGCGGGGGAGCAGGUGUCGCCCCUGCUGGGAGCUCGCGCCAUGCCGCCACUAGCUGCUCGCUAAAGGAGGAGAGAGGGAGGCGGAGAGGGCUGUUGUCGGCGUGGUCGGUCGGCCGCCGCGUCGGACCCCGCCACCACCACUGGUAGCCCGCGGAAGGAGAGAGGAGCUCGUGGCUAAAGAAAAACAUCAGGAGAGAGGGGAAAGAAACGAAAUAGUAUGCAUGUAACGAGUGGCAGUGGAUAAUUUCUUCCAACUUGAGAAAAUCAAAAAUCCAAGGAAGCACCUCCCUAACUACUGCCAGAAAUGAACUAACUAAAAACUGCCAGUUUUUGGACGGAAAUAGCUGAACCUUUUCGACCCUUUAAUUGGAUUUUAACUUUUGGAAAACAAAAGCAGCCCUCAAAAGUCCAACCAAAAGGAGGCUUAACCAAUUACAUGCGCCACCAAGACAGAGAGACCACUAGCACUAGCACUAGCACUACCACUUUGUUCCUCGGCAAAAGCCGAGGUGGCUGGCAUUGGCUGCGGUCGACGGGUCAAGUAAGAAAAUGAAAAGAUUCUUAUCAGAUCCGGAGAUUCUUAACCAUCUGGCUGUGCGCAUGGUUAAGCAAACAGAAGAAACAAAACCAAGAUCGUGAAACAAAACCAAGAUCUGGCUGUGCGCAUGAUUACUUUAAAUAAUUUUGACUUGGCCUGAACCAAGAUGAUGAGCACAGUCAGAUCUUGACCUGAACCAAGAUGAUGAGCACAGUCAAAAUUAUUUAAAGUAAUUAUCCUGCAGUAUUUAACUCUGGGAAAAGGUAAAGCAAACCUGUGUGAGUUCUGCGUCGCGGCGAGCAGUGGAGGAAGGAGCCGUGGCCGUCUCGCCGGAGCGCGGCCACGUCCUUCGAUCUUCUGUGGCCACGAUCACACACACGCUGCUCCGACUAAGCAGCAAGGCAGGCUCAAGGCUGUGCUCCAGUGGCACAGAAGAUCCGGGCAGGGUUUGUUGUUGCACGAUGAAAGUGAGCCCAUGAAAGUGGCGCUUUCUUCCCUCGAUCUUAUCUCUGGUGACUCAUUUCCGCAUGUGACUCUCGGGACUUAUCAGUUUGUAUCUUCGGUCUUUUGGCAUAUACCCCCUCGUGCUAUCAAGUGUAUUAUUUCCUCAUGGGGGCACCUAUGUUAUCUACAAAUCGAAAAUGAGCCCGUAUUUUACUUACCCUAGUGCAAACCAUUUGUGCAGCUUUUUAUUAACGAAAAAGCUAUCGAGUGCAAAGCUAUCUUUACACUCCUAUAGAUCCUGUACACUAUAACGAGACGAUGUUCGGCUUCUCUACAUCUCCUACUCAUCAUUCUAAUAGGUUAGGUGUUAAGAUUUGGUAUCCUUUGAGCUUAGGAGAUAUCUAAUACAGUAGAUUGAAACUAGCAGCAUUAGAACCAUCACAUGUGGGCGGAACAUUGUUGUGGUCAAGGUGGGCUAUGCCUCCCUUGCAAUUUAGAAUUGCUAGGAGUACUUCUUAACAAAUGACGAUAUUUUAGUUUAUAUAUGGCCACCCAUCUUCUCUCUAAGCGUAUUUAGCCAUCCCCUCUAAAAGUGAAUUCAAGCUCCGCCGCUACAUCAAUAGUAGACAAUUCAUGGCAACAUUAGAAGGGAAAGCGACAACUUGGUUAGCCAGAUUAGGAAGAGUGUAGUGAUCCAUCAUCACUCGAAAAAUAAAAAAAGACAAAAGGACCGGUGGUGAUAAGCACCGGGUGAAAACAACACGACUCGAAAUAUGAAACCAUCAUCCUAGACUCCCAACAAAUGGAGUGCAUCAAAUAAGCCCUUUUUCUUUUUUAUCGCAAAAUUUUUUCUAUAGUCCUUUAUAAUUUCGCACUCUAAUUUCAUCACAGUAGAGGGGUUGUUCUUCAAGUUGCCUGUUUGUCUAUUGCCACUUGCUCGCUUACCAGUGGGCGAGCAGACACGGCACACGGGCUUGGUGCCUUGUCCCCGCGGAGGGGUCCCCGGGUUUCCUUCGCCUUCUAUAAAGAAGGCUUCUAUUAGCCGCGUACAGAUAGAUAAGCAGCAACUCCAGUCCAACCAAAGCACAAACGGAAGAGGAGAGGAAAGACACCCGUUUCUAACAAGACCAAUUCUUGCAAGGAGAAGCAGACAUGAGAACCCAAGUGUUCUUCCUCACAUUCGCCUUGCUCGCAGUGCUCGCGCAAUCCAGCAACAGGCACCACCACCACUCCCAUGUUCAGAGCAAAGGUACCGGAUCUUCUCUUUGUUCUUGCCCAAAAGUCGCUUCUUUUCUUGACAUCGGAAUCCAAGAAUUGCUUGACCUAUUUAAUUUUCUAGUUUCCAAAUAACAAUCAAAGAGUUCGAGAUUCGUUUGAUUUUUCUUGUUACAAGUAUGCAUCAGUUUGGUUUACUCGGUUUGGAAUCUGUCUCUGGUUUCAGGGCAUGGAGGGGGAGGAGGAGGAGGAGGAGAGCUAGCGAGCCGGGGGAAGGCGGCGGCGCGGGCAUGGCCGUGCUGCGACAACUGCGGCGGGUGCACCAAGUCGAUCCCGCCGCUGUGCCAGUGCCUGGACGCGGUGCCCCGCGGGUGCCACCCUGCCUGCCAGGACUGCAUCAAGUCCAGCCUCAGCGCCGAUCCGCCGGUGUACCAGUGCAUGGACCGCGUCCCCAACUUCUGCGACCGCCGCUGCACCGCCGCCGCCGCCCACUGACCGGCCGGCUGAGCGAACGACUGAUUGCUGUGGAUUAUAGAUUUUUGUGUGUAGAGAGAGAGAGAGACGAGGAAUCUGUUCGUCUGAUGAGCAACCAACCAAACCAAUCUUGGGAUUUUUUUUCUCCUUUUGUUUUUUUGUCUUUUGUCUUGACACUGCUCUUUGCCGGCUACUACUGCUUGGUUGACUGUUCUUGGUUGCGACUUGCGAGGAGAUAAGCACGGUGAAUCACCGGAAUUUGGAAAAAAAAAUUGCUUUCCUUGCUGGUUUUUUAGCUUGGUCACGCCGACCCUGCCUCGGAUAAUUGAGGUCCACGCCACACGAGCUUGGCCGAUUUUUCGUCUGGACAUUUUUGGGAACACAGAUGCUGCCUCAGUGCCUCUCUGUCAGGGAUGCAGGAUGAUGGACCUGGACGCUAAUCCGGUCUCCGGCGCGACGCGAGGCCGAGGACGAGUUCCAGGGUCAGAUUCACCCUCCAAAACGACAGGGGUGUUCUCACUGAUCCGAUGACAACAGGCACUGCAAGUGGAGACUCCUACCCCGCACUCGCACUCGCACUCGCAGAUGCGCAUUUUCCGCGAGGAUAUGCGGCAAACAUGCAGCGUCUGAAUUUGGAGCCUAGUUUCUUUCAAAAAAAAUAAAGAAUUUGGAGCCGAGGUGGGGAUAAAGGCAGGGAAUAUGUCAUCCAAGGAAGAAACUAGCUGCGGUGUAUCUGCAUACGUGUUCUUGGUCGAGAAAACUAUGCUGCUACUUGCAACGUGGUAGCAUUGGACACUACAAAUUCAUGAAAAAUCAACAAACUGGUGGAAUUUUCUUUUUUCCAGAGUAGCACGAAAAUCAACAAACGUUCUCUUUUGAAGUCAGGAGAAGGAUUCACUAGUGCACAGCUCUGGUGGAGUUUUCUUUUUUCCAGAGUAGCACGAAAAUCAACAAACGUUCUCUUUUUGAAGUCAGGAGAAGGAUUCACUAGUGCACAGCUCUAAUUUUUUUUGAGGAAAUUGCAGAGCUCUAACAAAGUUUAGAUUAGUACGGAGCUCUAUUUUUUUAGGAAAUUGCAGAGCUCCAAUAAAGUUUAGAUUAGUACAUAGCUCUAUUUUUUUUAGGAAAUUGCAGAGCUCUAAUAAAGUUUAGAUUGAGCAACUCCAAGAGUCUAAAAAAAAUCUCCUCCAAAACUAUCUAUUGGGGACUCUACUAAAAAUUUAUUCUCUUAAAAUCAUGUCAUCCCACAAUAAUAAACUUCCCAAUACUUCAAAACUGACCACGUCAGCACCAAGUAGCUUCAAAAUGCGCCGCCCAUGCUCCGGCCGUGCCGCGUCGGCGGCGGCCUCCGCUCGCUGCUGCUUCUGCUCCUCUUCACCGUGCUCCUCUCCGUCGCCACCUUCUCCCUCCACUCCCCCGACCCCCUCGUCGUCAUCGACGCGCCGCCGUGGAAGCCACAGCUAAUUCGCCCAGUACGGCGGGCCAAUCGUGGCCCUACCCGCAGCAACAUCGGGGCGCACUCCGGUCUCAGCAGCAGUAGACCGGGCACGUACCACCCGCCCGGUCCCACCCAUCGAUGCCGCACCCCGCGUGGAAGAAGUGCGGGCACGGUAGCACCCGCAUGAGCUCGUCGCCCCCGGCGGUGUAGUCGAACAGCCAGAUGUCGCAGCGCUUGCCCGCAUUCCCGCCGCCACCUUCACCUGGGCGUACGUCACGAGCGUGUUGGCACCGAGCGCGCGCUCGCUGUCGUCGUGCACCGCGCCGCCGGUAGGCUCGUAGGCGCACGAGGAGGCGGCGGCGGAUCGGAGACGCUCUUCCACUGGAAGAGCAUCCGUUGGGCAGUGCGUCCAUUGGGCAGCAACCGCGAGCGUUUCAGAGCUCUUAUACUACCUGGAGGCGCCACCGCAGCGUCUUGGAGUGAACGCCACUGCGCCGUCGAUGGAAGGGAGGCGGAGGAAUUGAUGGAGACUACGAAGGACCGGAUCGAACCCGCGCGCCGGCGAAGUCCAGUGGCGUCUCGUGGCCGCAACAACUUUUGAAGUACCACACCGUUAUGUCCUCCACCACUACCUCGAGCACGCACCGCCACUCCCCCGACGGUGUCCAUCACCCACACACGUGCACUCCCUUGACGCCGUCAUGCGGCAGAGAGCAAUUGGGCUGCUUGUCACGGAUGUUGAAGCCACAUUGCCGGAGCCGCCCGCUAGUGGACCUGAGGGACCGCACCAUGCGCUCCACGGACCCCUCCGCGAUGGGCGGCUCACAGAGCACUGUGGCGUGACCGCACCGCCGGCUCAGCCAGUAGAAGCACGUGUCGACAUGGAUCCCAGGGGACGCGGUGUUGAGGCAUCGAGACAUGCCCUGGGCGCCGAGCGUGGUCGUGGCUCAUCUCCCGGUCGCGGAGGUGAAAAACGCCACGAGGACGCGCCGGAAGCGGGUGCGGGUGAGGAUCAUGACGGUAAAGGAGACUACGAAACAGUACUAGAGCGAUCCGAGAAAAACGAUUCGAGGUGAUUGUGGAAGAACCAGUAUGCGGGGCGAUGGAGGUGCUUUUAGCGUCCAUGCAUUUUUACGUGGAGGAUGCAGGGUUGUUGGAGGUAAUUUUUUUUUGUUUUUCUCCAAAAUAAGAUUCUGGGGUAAUUUUGAAGGAGCUCCUGUAGUUGCUCUAAGUAUCAACAAGCACAAACCAGAGAACAGGCUUGUUGGGCCUGUUAUCCGAGCGGUUCUCAUAGAAGCAAUGGCCCAAAACAAGAAAAGGCCCAAAGAGGCCCAGGAGUUCUCGGCGGCAGAGCGGAGAAUCGUUCGGUUCUGUCUGCGAGUUCUUUAGUACCACCUCGGCUGCUGAAUGCGGACGCGCCGCAAGCUCCCGCUAUAAGAUGAGCGCCCCGUGCCCCGUUGCUCCAUACUUACCUGGACGGGGUCGACGGGCGAUCAAGAAGGCCCGUGGCCUAGGUCAGUGGCCCGCAUUGCACUUGGCGGGUGCGCUGGCUUACCAUCUCCCCAAGUGGGAGAGUGGACGUCAUAAUUUGUGGUAGAGGGGGUACGCGUUCGCGCGGCCCCCACCAAUUCUAACAAAUCAAAAUGUUGUCCUUAGCCCUCUGGGCUGUCUCUAGAAACAGGGGCGUUGCUGCAAUUUGUGGUAGAGGGAGUAUUUUACUCGUAUUAAAAAAAUAUUAGCAGUUUCUAGUUGUAUGGUUUGAUCUGAAUGGUUGAAAGAAAUAAAGUUGCGUUAUUUUAUUAGCACGUGCAAAGCCACGCGGCCAAGCUGACCCAGCCAUGGCGACCCAUGGCCUUCUCCCCUCGUCACUCUUCGCAUCCACCACCGCCAUUCGCGCCAUCGCAGCGCCAACCCGCACCUGCCACCGCGUACUCUCCUACGGCACCCGCCGCCGCCGCCCCCUGGCCUUCGGCCGCCGCGCGCCGGCGAUGGACGCCCUCCGCGUGACGGGAGCCGCGGAGCCGCUCCUCCGCCCCUCCGUCGGGGGACACCCCAGGCUCCGCGUAUGCCGCUCGACUUAACCCCCAAUCGGCGGCUAAACAUAGCCGUUGCGCGCCCCCUGCUAUUCUGGGGAGGAAGGCGGGGUCUGGUUGGCGGUGAAGGUCUGACGACAUGGAGGUCGAUGUGCAGGUGCGGACCCAUGCGCAGGGCGAGGGCGAUGCCGGGCGUGGCGCCGCCGCGGAGGGGGACGCGGCCUUCUCGUGGGCACCCGUCAUACUCCCGUAAGCUAUCUGUCAGCCACCUCUCGAAUUUUAGCAUUUGGAGAUUAUCUGGAGUGCGGGGUAGGUGUUGAAAUCAGAAAGGAUGCAUUUAUGGUCUGAUUCGACCUUGCACACGUUCUGAUUGAAGCAACCGAUUAAACUGUGAUCCUUCACUGCAUAGACAGUUUAAACUGUGAUGCUUCAACAUGGAGCAGUCAUAGAAUGUAUGAUGAUGCAGAGUAAUCUAGGAUCUGUUUAAUAUUUCUGUACAGACUGAUGCUUGCCAUAGCAAUGCUUCUUGGUGUAGAGUUUCGAGAAUAAACAAAUAAAAUGGGGUAAUCAGGAAGCCUAUCCAGAUUGCAGCCUUGCAGUACUGAUAGAUCACUGUUCGGAACCUAGGUUCUUGUUCCCUGCAUUGGGCGGUCUCCUUUUCGGCUAUGACAUUGGCGCAACCUCUGGAGCAACAAUCUCUGUACAAGUUAGUCCCCGUUUUGGUUUUUUCUGGAAUUUCCUCUAGCUGACAUACAGUCUCACUGCCACUGGGUGUAUUCUUCUUCAGUCUGCUGAUCUCAGUGGCACCACUUGGUUCAACCUGUCAUCUGUGCAACUAGGCCUUGUGGUAAUCCAAAUUUCUGUGAUUCCUAAGCUUUUGUAUCUCCCUUUUCAUAUCAAUUAUCAAGAUCCAAAUGAGUUUCCUUUUCCUUUUAUUCAGGCAAGUGGUUCACUUUAUGGAGCUCUUGGUGGCUCUAUUCUCGCAUACCGCAUUGCAGAUUUUCUAGGUGAACUGAAAAGCUAAACCAAUUUAAUUGUCCUUACCAUACUUGUUUGAUAAGGGGGUGAAUAACUUCUACCAUCUUGAUACAGGAAGGAGAAUAGAGUUGGUCACCGCAGCUGCAUUAUAUAUUCUUGGUGCUUUGGUCACUGGAUUUGCCCCUAAUUUUGUAGGUCUAAUCAUAGGCCGUAUCCUUUAUGGGAUUGGUAUUGGUUUGGUGAGUACCUGCAGGCACAAAUCUUCUUCCUCCCUAAGAUGAUCCCAGGUUACUGUUAUUAAAAAAAAUCUAAUUUACGAAUGCGUAUAAAAGUGAUUUUCUGGGGAUGAUAAGUACAUUCACUCAAGCUGAGUAACCUGACAAAAUUGUUAUAAACUUAUAAUGUCAUGAUGCCUCAUUAUAGUUUUCUGAUAUGCUAAUCAUUUACUGAAGUGUGAAGUAGCAAAACUAAUUGAUGUCACUGUAGCUUGAUGGUCAUGUUCUGAUAUAACUAAUUAUGGAAUAAGUAGAUAUAAAACAUUCCUGCACUUGAUUAUUCUGAUUCCUAUGAUGGGGUAGAACAUAUUCACUGGUACACCGCAAAAUCAAGCUGGUUGUAUUGCUAAGAUAUUUAAUAUAAUUUUCUUCUUUAAUUUCUGGGGUGGUUACAUUGCGUGUAGCACUUUACCCUAGCCUUUUUGACACCAACUUUCAACAUCCAUAAGCAUCAAAAUUUCCAUGGUUCCAUGCUUUCUUAAAAUGGGAUUCGUAGCAAUUGAAGAGAAUUACAGUUGCAAAGGAGCAUAUGAAUAUUUAGCUAGGGGUUUGGGAGAGUUUAUAGACCAAUGCUGUCCUAAAACAUUUGGUGUUAUGCCACUGAACCAUUAUGGUGCUAUGUGCCAGGCAAUGCAUGGUGCCCCACUUUAUAUUGCAGAGACUUCUCCUCCGCAAAUACGUGGAACAUUGAUAUCUUUGAAGGAGCUGUUUAUUGUGUUAGGAAUACUGGUAAUUAUCUAGUCUUCUGUAUAUUAUACUUUAAUAUACCCAUUUCAUGCCUGCUGACCAUUAAAUAUCUUGCGCAGUUCGGAUAUCUUGUAGGAAGUCUUGAAAUUGACAAUGUAGGAGGAUGGCGGUACAUGUUUGGUUUUGGCGCUCCGCUUGCAGCUAUCAUGGCUAUUGGUAUGUGGACUUUACCACCUUCACCAAAAUGGUUACUUCUCAGGGCAGUUCAAGGAAAGGGGUCUAUGGAGGAUAAUAAAAAGAAGGCAAUUCAAGCCCUUAGAACGUUGAGGGGCCGCUCAACAAGUGAAAAGGUUUUAGCAGAUGAUGUUGAAGAUACCAUUGUCUCUAUUAAGGCAGCCUAUGCAGGACAGGAAGGUGAAGGGAAUAUUUGGGAGGUAUUUGAAGGAGCUAGCUUGAAGGCCUUCACCAUUGGAGGAGGUCUUGUUCUGUUUCAGCAGGUAUUUUGUUCUCUUUAACCCAUGUAUUAGCAGGUUAUUCAAGUUAAAGUUCUGGCCAUGCUCUUAUCUUUUAUUUUUUUAAUUUUAUGCCCUUUUUUUAUCUAUUUUCAAAAUACGGAUGAAUGCUACUUCUUUUUGAGUGGUAGCGUAGACAUGCUGGAUUUUUGUUAUAAAGCUAAACUCUUACUUGACAGAUAACAGGCCAGCCAAGUGUUCUAUAUUAUGCAGCUUCGAUACUUCAGGUACCAAUAUUUUGCUUGGAAUUGUUUGGUGGUAUAGUUUUUAUAUAGAAAAUGUAGAAGUAGGAUACUGUUAUCUGCCCUAUACAUUUCUUGAAUUCAUACAACUCAACGUCUCCAUCUCUAAAGUAUGCCUUAUGUAGACUGCUGGGUUCUCAGCUGCAUCAGAUGCUGCCAGAGUGGCAAUUUUGAUUGGGUUGUUCAAGGUAAUGCAGAAGAUCUACUUCAAUACUUGUAUAUUAGCUGUUUCUGAAUCAUUCUGUGUAGGUAAAAAUGUAAGGAUCUUAUGCUUUCUAUUAGUUUUGAGUUUGUGUAACAAUUCUAUUCUUCGCAGUUGCUAAUGACAGGUGUUGCGGUACUGAAAGUUGAUGAUCUUGGAAGGCGCCCAUUAUUGAUAGGAGGUGUUGGUGGAAUUGUGAGUAUUUGUUCCUUCCUGUUAUUUGAUUAAGUUCUACAUAUUACAUGGAAAGCCCCAUACACACACUUGAAUUCAGUUUGGCAAUUCCACUAAACAUGAACACUGACAAUACUAAUAUUUUAGGUAAUGUAUUAGACUACAACUCUACAUUAGAAUAAGAUAAUUGGUAAACGUAGUAACUUUGUGCAUGUUCUGUCAGGUUUGCAUUCCUAUGUUCUAACUAAAUUGCCUUAUGUUAUCUGUAACCUGUAAAUGCAGGCUCUGUCACUCUUCCUUCUUGCAGCUUACUACAAGAUCCUGAACAACUCCCCCUUUGUUGCUGUUGGCGCUUUACUUCUUUAUGUUGGUGCUUACCAGGUUGGUGCGUUAUUCUGCACGGGGAGCCUGACAAGCACAGCAAUAUUUUUUUCAGGAAUCCACAAAAAGCUUAUACAUCCAUGUGUUUCAGGUCUCAUUUGGUCCAAUUAGUUGGCUAAUGGUGUCUGAGAUAUUUCCACUGCGAACAAGAGGGCGUGGGAUCAGCCUUGCGGUACUAACAAAUUUCGGCUCAAAUGCGUUGGUGACAUUCGCGUUUUCACCCUUGCAGGUAUUGCUUCUCAAGUUCUCAUAUUGCUACCUCCUGGCUCCUGACGUGCAAUUUCAUGAUGUUUAGUUUCUGCAAGUGGAGUCCCCAAAUUACAUGAACAACUAAACGUGUCAAUACCUAGUAGUUGCGACCAAUGAAUCCUUUCUCAAUAAAUACUCAUUUUUAUCCUUGUCAUAGAAAAACUGCUGUUCCCUGUUCUAUGGUCCAAAUUCAGCAUCUUAUCAGGUCCAAACUCCAGACUAGUGUUUAUUUUUGUGUGUGUAUUUCAAAACUCCACCCUCUGCCAACUGAUCUCCAACGCUGGGGUUACCGGACUAGUGUAUUUUGGCUAUCUAUUCGAAUACUGAUAUAGCCUUUUUCAUUUUGCACAAAUACGGGAACAAACAAUACGUGCAGUUCUGCCAACAAUUUAUAUUUCUCUUUUCACCACAGGAAUUCCUUGGGCCAGAGAAUAUAUUUUUCCUGUUUGGGGCCAUAGCAGUGCUCUCCCUUGUGUUUGUGAUCCUCAAUGUUCCCGAGACAAAAGGACUGAGCUUGGAGGAGAUUGAAUCUAAGAUCCUGAAGUAAAAUGGCGUGGUCAAGGCUCCACAAACCCCGGUUGUUGGCCAGAAAGAUUAAUGCCGUUUACAACAUGGAUGCUCACUCGUAGGAUCAGAGUGCGUCAGUCUCAGACUUAGUAGCGCAGUUCACGUCUAGAUGUAAAGUUUUUCCUUCUUGUAAUUAAUAUUUCUGGAUAUGCAUUUGUAGCUACCAAGUCAUAACCACGUCCCAAUUGUCCAUUGCAUCUCAUCCCAUAGCAGCAGUAAGUAAUCGACUAAUCGUCGUGUUCUUGUGACUAUGCUGUAUGUGCUGGUGAGCUGCCGCAAUGAGGACGUCCCCAGUUACCCCCACUGUUUAGUUUUUGUUUUCUGGAACUAUUUUACCCCUACUGUCUGCUGGUGUGAAACUAUGCUGCAGAAAUUUGUUUGUACUUGCUCACUGAUGCUUACCUGUUUAGGUAAGCUAUUUUUCUCUGUUUUAUUUCCCGAAAAAAAAGGAAUGCCGAUGGGGGAACGGCGGAUGUCUUGGGAAGUAGUUUGGCGAUGGAGAAAAGCCAGCAUUACUGUCACUACUGCUCACAGAUGGAUGCAUCUGCAACUAGACUUUGUUUAGCAUCAGGACUGGAGUGUCACCGAACCAAACAGACAUCACAAUCAAGGAGCUCAUGAACAGAAAUGUAAAUCUGACCGACACAUUUAAUACUUGCUUAUCCAGCAUUUGAUUACUACUUAUCCUAACGCAUCUGGCCCAUAUUGCGCGUCCUGGUGGGGUUUGGAAUCGUGCAUUAUAUACUCUUGAUUCAGGAAUAAGCACACCACGGCAACUACUCCGUAUUCAGAUUUUUUUAUAACAAAAUGCAUUAGGAAAUUGAUCCGGUAUCCAGUGUGCUAUUUUUCGUAGAAUUUUCAAGAUAUUGAGGUACGCAACGGAAAUAUGAAAACACAUGAAAAAUGACAUGUCCUGUCGUGUCAUCGUGUGUGGUCACUGAGCUGAGCUUUCAUGCGUCUCCAUAUAGCUGACUAAGCUGAGCAGUUAGGUUCUUGCUUAUCAAACACGUAAGAAUGCAAACACUAACUAUAAAGUUAUAUAUUGUUCCAGGCAGGACUGCGAGAAAGGGAGAUUCUUCAUCCAGUUCGGUUGCGAUUCAGAAGUGCGAGUAGUACAUGAUCAACAAGGAGGGAGGGAACACGUCGUGCCGACUUGAUUGCCUCCAUCGUGGUGGCGGCAGCAGCAGCAACCCGACCGACGAGUCAGUCGCCGAGUAUGAAGUGGGAGCGAGACCGACGACGAUGUGAACCUCCCGCCCAGACCACGACAAGCGGGGGAUCCCGGCGACCUCGUCUAGUCUGGGCGUGGCGGCCGGAGGCCAUGGUCAUGCCCUGGCUGUUGCAGCCUGGCCAUGGUCCAGUUGCCAAAGUCUCCCAGGUCCCAGCGCUAUUCUUUCGGUGCUACACGACGUGCACGUUCCCUCGUGACGUGACGUGGACUUGCACACCAACAAAAGUCUCGGGCUCCGCCGUGCCGGGACGACCCUCCCUCUUGCGCGCGCACACGCGCUCCACGUGCAGGCUCCACGGCUUUCUAAUCUUACCAGCCAUGCUCCACCACCAAACAAUUAAUCCUAGUCUAGAUUCCAAAAGCAAACACCCAGUGCCAUGCACCACAGUUGCACAGGUGAUAAAAAGCACUAUGACUUGUCAAGCAAACUCGUGUUACCAGGCUAGCAGCUACCGUUCCAAUCCACCCGUCGCGCGUCAAGACUACUCGUCCUUUUCAUCAAACAGCAAUGCGACGGACGGUGCGAGUGUGACAACACUCUUAGUAUGACUGACGAUUAAGGAUGGCUUGCUUAUUACUCCCUUCACGUCGUUUUGAUUUUUUUAAUUCAUAGAUAUUAUCACUACUAGGAAAAACAGCUCUAGUAUCGGUUGAGAACCCUCCUCUAGUAUCGGUUUCGCAAUCGGUACUGGCAAUUCGGUACUAGAGGGGUAGAGGGGGAUCGUUUAGUACCGGUUGAAAUAACCGGUACUAAAGGGUAUUAAAAAAAUUAAAAAAACAAAAAUCCCCCUCCCCCGCCGCCUGCCCCUCCACCCGAAGCCGCUCAACCGGCCACUCCCCGCCGCCCCGAUGGCCGCCGCCACCGUGCCUCGCCCCACCGCCACUCCUCACCUCAGGCACGAGGUGAAGGGUGAGUGGAGGGGGAGGAGAGGGGAGGCCGGGGAGGGAGGGAGGGGGCUGGUAGCCUGGAGAGGGAGAGGGAGCGGAUGGAGAGAGGAUAUGAGGAUGAGGGAGGUGGAGCGGAGGGAGCUGAGGAUAAGGACGACCACUAAGGGGGCCAGUGCUUGGCGCGCGGACGGAAAACACUUCAGUACCGGGUGGAGCCCCCACCUGGUACUGAAAGGGGGUCACGGAAGGCUCCUCGGGGACUAUCCAUUAGGUUCGGUACUAAACAUUAGUAUCGGGCUAAAAAGUGACCGGUACUAAGCCUUAGGAUGAGAGGUCAUUUUUCUAGUAGUGUAUUAUGUACCUAAACACAUACUAACCUAAAAAUGAUCUACAAUUUGGAACAGAAGGAGUAGUAUUCAGCUAGCAUUGACUAAGCAAGCAAGUUCAAUUCUUUGCUGGGACGAUGGUGUCCUAAUUUUAUUUCGAUUGGUGACGAGGUGAGUUGCCUGAUGUAUCUGGCCCAUAUGGCGUCCUGGUGGGGGGAACGGGAUCGUGCAUCGUGCCAGCCGGGAAUUAAUAGAAGAGGUCACAAACUCACAAUGAUCCCAACCAGGCGUUGGGUUAAUUAGUGGUUCUAUAGGGACUUUGGAAUCCAAAAAAUACUCCUUUUAGAAAGACAAGCAAGGAAUCAAGCGCCGCGCACCUGACCGGGAAUACGGACAGAAUUCUGCCAUUCAGCACUAGUGCUAAUCAAGCGAAGAUUUCUAACGGUGAAAUCUGACUAUCAGUGACGCUGGUGCUCCCAUUUUUCUAAAUUUAUUUUGGAAUUUAACCGUCGCUAUUCUUUCAGUGGUAGACGGCAUGCCUGUUGACAGCGAGACGAUAGUGGUGCCUUAAUUUUUCGAAGGUGCUUAUAGGAGUAAGGUUGCGUGCGUGUAUUCGUAAUGGUGAGUCUGCAUACAUGUACGUGAGUGUCUGCAUGUGAUUUGAGAAAAAAUAGUAGUGUUAAUCAACAAGGUAAUUAACCCGUCGUGCUGACUUGAAUGCGUCGGCAGCUGCCGGUUGAACCUGGCUCGCCGAGUGACUGAGAGUGAGACUGCCAACCUGCCCAACGAACGAGGGACAGACACUCCCCUCUCCCUUACUUCGUUGUCAAGACGUGUGUUUGGUUGCUUGUAUUAUUUGGUUCGUAUAUGGAAUAGUUUAAAAUAAUAAUAAUUUUUUUAUUUGGUUGGGUGAAUUGUACCGACCUAUCUAGGAUGAAGUCAUCCCACUCAAUACAUUAUUCUAUAAAUAAUUAUGAACUAUAUGGUACAAGUAAAUUGAUUGAACCUACGAUCAAAUAUCAUCCAUAUAUGCAUUGCAGUCCUCGGUCCCGGAGUACGCCUGCGACCCGCGAACACACCGUCCGUCACGCCUGUUCAAUCAGCUGUUCACAGUUGCUGCUGCCCAUGGGCCUCACGUGCUUCGAUCUAGAUGCCUAGUGCCCACUUUGAGCAUCUUCCCCAUGAUAGUCUUCUUCUGACCAUCUUUCUUGAACGCAUACAUCACUUGAGCACCGUAAUCCUGUGCUCCAUCUGCGAAGGCCCAUCUAUAUGCAUGUCACCUAGGUGUUAGGGCUUCAAAGAACUGAACUUUGAGAUCGCUUUUGGUGGCUAGGAGCAACUUCACACGCUGACAUCAUGCAUUUCUUUUUGAACUAAAUUAAGGGCCUGUUUCAGCUUAGCUUCUCGGGUCUACUUUGGAAAGCUGAAACAAACAGUCCAGCUGUUGAAAUUGCUUUUGGAAAGCUAGCUUCUGAGGAAAUGAACUGAAAGCUGGAAAGCUAACUGAGAGGAGCUUUUCCUAACUUUUGGUGUGUUGAGAAGAUAAAAAUUUAUUACAAAAGUCAAUAGCAAAAGAUCAGCAAUCAAAAAGUCAAUUUUCACAUAGCUAGCUUUCCAGCCAAAAACUCAGGACGUUCGGCGGGCCUGUCCUCAUUGUUGUUUUUUCUUUUUUGGGAUAAUACGCUUGGUAGCAAUCUUUCUAACUAAAUCUAAGGACACACAGGAUAUGACAUGGACGAUAGGAGAUGAUUAUGAGAAGAAUGUUGUUGGUGCACUACACGGGCAACCACAAUGUGGUAGAAAAGUAGUCCAUAUGUACUUUUAUUUUCCAUUCAGCCACCUAGUAACAUUGUGCAAGUAAUCCAUAUGUAGGAGUACAAAUUAAUUUUCGGUUAUCUAUAGGAAAUGGUAGUGUUAAUGGCAACAACAUGUUUUGGAAGUGGAUAUAUAACACACAAAUUCCGUACCUUUUUGUGUGUUCGAGAGGAUCCGUGUCCCAACUAGUUUAGUCUUGUUUGGCGAUGACACAUGCACCUACAUCCAGGACCUUAGGGUUAGGAUUAGUGGGUUUUCAAUGUUAGAACUUGGGUUUUACCAUUCUCCGAAAACAGAUGCAAGGGAAGAAGGCAAUCUUGGCAGUGGAAUCAACGGUGCAUUGACAUUAGGGCGGAAUGUAGUGAAGCAGCGGCAUGAAGAAGGUAGCUAAGUAUAAUGGUAUUACAAGGGUGAUGGGAGACGACGAUGAGCAGAAUGUUGCGGCUUGCCGAAGCAUAACCUACUAUUGUGGUUGGAGCACCGACAAGUAUGGGCAACCGUACAGCCGUAGAGGAGAGGGGAGGGUGAGCCGAUCAGGGAUGUUAGGUAAUUUUCUCUUAAUGAAAUACGUGCUAGUGAAAAAAAGGACGUUAGGCAAACAGAUGGGAGCAAUGGAAGAAGGAAACGACGUCAAUGUUUGAUCACCUAAAAAUCGUGUGUUUUCAGCAUUAGAAUCACUAUGAGUGAGAAGUAGACAGGUAAAAACCUCAAGUACCAUGCCACUACUUGCACCAGUCGCAGUAUAGUGUCCAAUAAACCCACAAAUGCAGCGUCAAGACCUGUCGUUCCUACCUCUCCGAUCCUAUGAAGCGAGCAGCCAGCCAGCGCCGUUCCCUCUGAUGCCGUCCACUUCCACGUCCCUCCCGUGCUGCCGUGCACGACAAACCCAGGCGCUCGUGCCGGUGUAGCCAUAGCCCCGAUGACUUUGACGACGCGCUGGGAUUGUUGCGGCCGGAAGCUAUAAGCCGAGCACGCCGGCCGAUCGCUGAGAGAUCAACGUGUCUUGUUCCAGCUCCACCAUGGCGUCUGUUCUUGCCGCGGUGGUGCCCGUCCUGCUCGCUCUUCUGGCUCGAAGCGGAUCACCGGCCGCAGCCGGCGCCGCCACCGAGUUCGUUCUCGCCGGCUUCGCGGGUGCGAACUUGACGGCCAGCGGCGCGGCCGUGGUCACCUCCUCCGGCCUCCUUCGGCUCACCAACGAGACCAACGAGGCGUUCGGGCACGGCUUCCACCCCGCACCGCUGCGGUUCAAGGACGCCUCCACGGGCGCGCCGGUCUCCUUCUCCACCACGUUCGUGGUCGCCAUCCUGCCGCGCUACCCGGACGCGCACGGCCACGGGCUCGCUUUCGCGCUGGCGCCGUCGGCGACCGUGUCGGGAGCCGUGGCGGGGAAGAACCUCGGGCUUUUUAACACGUCGAACCACCUCGGGAAUGGGCAGAGCGAGGUCGUCGCUGUCGAGCUCGACACGGCGAUGGACGAGGAGUUCGCCGACAUCAACGACAACCACGUCGGCGUCGACGUCAACAGCCUAAAGUCCAAUUGCUCGAAGCCAGCGGGCUACGUCGCCGACGCCGGCACCGUCAAGCUCAACGUCAGCUUGGUCUGCGGGGACCCCCUGCAGGUGUGGAUCGAGUACGACGGCGCGAGCACGCGCCUCGAGGUGACCGUGUCACCGGCCGGCGUGCCCAGGCCGGCCGUCCCGCUUGUGUCUUGCGCCGUCAACCUCUCGUCGGUGGUGGCCGACGGCACGUACGUCGGGUUCUCGGCCGCGAACGGCGCUGCCUCGAGCUCGCACUACGUUCUCGGCUGGAGCUUUCGCCUCGGCGGCGGCCGCGCGCCGGACCUCGACCUGUCAAAGCUCCCGCGGGUCCCGUCGUCUAGGCCCAAGAAGACCAUGCAUCCGCAACUGGUCCUGGCGCUGAUCCUGCUUGCCGUCGUGGCGCUCCUCGUGGUGUCAGCGGGCGUCACGCUGUUCGUCGUCUGGCGCCGGCGGUUCACCGAGGUGGAGGAAGAUUGGGAGUUGGAGUACGGACCUCACCGGAUCAGCUACAAAGACCUGCACGCGGCGACCAGAGGCUUCCGCGACGUCAUCGGCGCCGGCGGCUUCGGCCGCGUGUACCAUGGCGUGCUCCGGCGGUCGGGCACGGAGGUCGCCGUCAAGAAGGUGGCCCAUGACUCGCGGCAGGGCUUGCGCGAGUUCGUCUCGGAGAUCGCGAGCAUGAGCCGGCUGCGCCACCGCAACCUGGUCCAGCUCCUCGGCUACUGCCGGCGACGGGGAGAGCUCAUACUCGUCUACGACUACAUGGUCAACGGCAGCCUCGACAAGCACCUAUUCGACGCUGAAAACAGGCCGGCGCUGAGCUGGGAGCGGCGCGCCAAGAUCAUCCGCGACGUUGCCGCCGGGUUGCUGUACCUGCACGAGGAGUGGGAGCAGGUGGUGGUGCACCGCGACAUCAAGGCCAGCAACGUCCUCCUCGACACCGACAUGAACGGCAAGCUCAGCGACUUCGGCCUGGCGCGGCUCUACGACCACGGCAGCGAUUCGCAGACGACGCACGUCAUCGGGACGCUCGGGUACCUCGCGCCGGAGAUGAUCAAGACCGGCAAGGCCACCCCGAGCGCCGACGUGUUCGCGUUCGGCGCCUUCCUGCUCGAGGUGGCCUGCGGCCGGAGGCCCGUGGAGUCACUCAGCAACAACAAUGCGGACCCGGCGGGGCUCGUCGACAACGUCCUCGAGUGCUGGAAGACCGGGAGGAUCAGAGACGCCAGGGACCCGAGGAUCGGCAAGUGCGACGAGGACGACCUCGAGCUGGUGCUCAAGCUCGGGUUGCUAUGCUCGCACCCUGAUCCCCGGUGCCGGCCGAGCAUGAGGCAGGUGGUGCAGGUACUGGAAGGCGCCGCGCCGGUGCCGGAGACGCCGCCGGAAGAUCUAGGCAGCAGCGGCAGGACCUUCGGGUACUACGAGACGUUCGAUGAGUUCCUCAACAUGUUCCCGACGACGAUCGAGGUGGCGACCGUCACGCCGCGCCUUGGUCGCACUCCAGCGCCGAACACCAGCACCUGAUCUCCGGCGGAGUUCUGGCUCUGCCAUCAGCUCUCGUCAAUAAAUUACAAAAUUCUCUUGUAACUAAAUUCAAAUUUCUCUUACCACUAAAUUGCUACAAAAUCGCUGUGAUGUGCUUAGGAUGGUUCAAAUUGGAAAGCAAACAGUUACAAGAUUAGGUGUUGUAAUAAUCUUGUCUAAAGAAGUGAACAUAGGUUGUCAGACAGUUUUAGGAUGAUCAAAGAGUGGUUUUGCUUUCAUAAGUCCUAACACCUAAUUAACCUAAUCGUUGAGGUUUUGUACGUGUAAUUUUUUUUCUGCAAGUGAGUAAUCGUUGAAGUUUUGUAUGUGUAAUCUUUUUUGUAAGUGACCAUAUGAGAUACUAUAAUCUCCGAAAUGUUUUUCUACAUAUUCAUCAUUUUAGAUUUAUAUAUUUUUGAGAUAACUCAUCUUGUAAGUGAUAAGAACUAAAGAUCAUGUUACCACUCAACCAUCAAAAUCACAAAUAAUAAUCUUUUUUUUCCUUAUAUCCUCCCUUCGUUGACCGCAACAUUGACCUACGCAUCAUAGAACAAGCAAACCGGUUCAUGCAACCCAAAAUCCCCACAUUUAAAACUCUGUACCUGUAAUGCAGUGUGCCGUUGCAUCCUCCUCAGUCCCACACGACACGAGCAAGGCAUCAGCCAUCACUCCCGUUUGUCACAAACACAGCCAAAUCCGAUCGAUGUGAACGGCAUCGACCGUUCACCCAGCUAUUCUCUGUCGUUCAUACCUGGUCGCUCGGUUCCCCAGCGAAAUAACAUAGGCAGACCCCCCGCACAUAGCUCUGGCCCAGAGAAUGACUUGAGAUCCUGGCAUCUCUCGAGCGAGCAACUCAGACAUUCGAGUGAUUGACCAUCGAGCCAACACGUGGGGUGGUGCCGACCUGAACGCAUCCAUCAUCGAGUGCCUCUGCCUGCCCAACGCCAACGAACGCCGGCCCGGACCUCGCUCGACCUCGUCGUCAACAAGGCCGGCCGGUCCCGGAGUACGGCGGCCAUACAUCCGGCCUGUGGAAUGCUAAUAACAUGGGAUGGACCUGGCUGGAGAUAUCCAGCAAUGACCACACGGUGUGCAUCGUCCCAAGCUGCAGAGUCAGUCAGUCGUCGUCUUCUAUCACAGCAAACGCAGUACAGUAUUUAAGUAGUGACAGCUACCUGUUCUUGGGUCCCUCUCUGAAUGUUGUACAUGUAUCCGCUGAAUCUGCAUGCAAAUACAGACGGCAGAAGUAGGGACUGAUGACUUGAGGUCUAGACGUCUAAUUAAGCUGAUGUCGACCUCUGGGUACGUAUGCUAUUUACCAAUUUACCACCAUGUUGUUGAUCAAGAUCAGAUAACCACGGUGCUUGUUGCCAGCCUAGAAGGUGCGGUGUGAUGGACAGAGACGGCGGUCACUGCUUGCGAGUGUGGUGCAUGCUUUUGCAUUGCCUGGCCGUUCGUCUGCAAUCGAUAUGAUGUUGUUCAGCUGCCGCGUAAGCUAGGCAAGUCGAUCCACAACUUGGCCGGCAAUUUGCAGUUUCCUUGGCUACGUUAUGCCUCUGGUUAGUACAGUACUAGCUCCAAACUCCCAACUGAAUGCAUGCGAAUGCAAACCACACAGAAGUCUCGAGCUGAAGGGGCCAUUAGCUGGGUAUGUGACAGGGAAUGCGAAUUUGACUUUUGGAAUGCAUGUCGUCGUUUUCCACUGUGAGAAUGACACCUCUACUUGUGUCAAAUUCAGCAAAAACCUAAAGAAUGAUUUGCAAAUUUUAGAUCAAAAAUUUUUACGUCAUAUAUGAAUUGGAGUUUUGCAAAUUCAAAGGUAUCUUAAAGUGAGACACUACACGGCAAAAGCAAUGUGGUGCAGUGCUCCAUAUGAAUAUGCAACACACAUAUAUAUCCUCACUGACAUUUUGCGGAGCUGAAUUUCCAGCAUCUAAAACAAAACAAAAAGGAAUGGGAAAUCUAUAUGUGACUUGAGUAUUCCCUUCAAUAAUUUCUUUUCCGAUUUCAGCUACAUGCACAUAUGACAUCCCUGCUUCAUGUCCGGCAAGAUCAGGGUUCCAGAUUUGGGGAAUUGGAGGCUGCAUUAGAGGAUUUAGAGGGGAGGGAUGUGAAUGAAGGUUAGCCUAGCAGUGGAGGGCCACGGUGGCCACAACGGUGAAGUAGCAUGUGACGGAGGAUGGGCACUGCUGGGGAUCGCCAAAGAACUAAACACCCUCGAGCGCCAUUCGUGGGCAUAGUUUUCCAAAUGGGCCGCCCGGCCCUAGCCCGGCACUAACCCAUCCUGGCCCAGCACUAAUAGGCCCGAAGGGUUUUCGUGCCGGGCUGGGCUGGCACUGCGUGCCGAGGAGGCAGCCCAGGCCCGGCCCGACGACCUUUUUAUCGGGCUGGGCCAGCCCACAACACGACGGGCCAUGCCGUGCUAGUGCCCGGCCCGGCACUAGCAGCAGCGGCCGGCUCCAGUUGCCCUCGGAGGGCGGCGACGGUCGGCGGCCGGCCCCCCGCGUCGGCCCCUGGCGGCGGCGGCGGCGGCGGCUGGCCCCCCGCGUCGACCUCGGGCAGCUGCGGCGGCCGGCCCCCCGCGGCAGCCUCGGGCGACGGCGGCUGGCCCCUUGCGGUGGGCAUGGCGACCACCGUCGCCAAGCAAGCAGGAAGGUGGGACUGUGGGAGGACCCUGGGAGGCGGACGGGUGGAUGGUCAAAUGGGGGGAAAUUGAAAGUAUAAGUAGGGUUCUGCAUUUAUAUGGUAGUUAGAUCGGGCCACAUCGGGCCGGUCCAAAAAUCAUGCCAGGCUCAUGCUGGCCCAGCGUGCCGGGGAGGCGGCCCAGGCCCGGCACUAUCAUCGUGCCGGGCCAGCCCUGGCACUAUUCACUUCGUGCCGGGCCCGUGCUCGUGCCGUGCUUUUUAGUGUUGGGCCUCGAGCCACCCAACGGGCCUGGCCCAUUUGGAAAUCUUUGUUCGUGGGUAAAAACUCUCUAACCUCGCAAGUUCUUGGUCAAGGAAUAAAACUUGGUUAACCUCGCAAGUUCUUAUGGAAACUAUUCUGGUAGUAAAACUCAUACCCUCGCAUCUUCUUUGUUACUGGAGGGACUCGAAGCUGGCAACUGGUAACUAAUAACUAAACUCCAACUGAGCUAACCCUCGAGUGUUCGGAAUCAGUCCUGAACACCGAGCUUUCAUCUUUUUUACUCUUUACUCAGGAACGGAACCUGAAGGGAGAUUCCGUGAGGUUACAAGAUUCUCAGAGCAACACAACGAACCAGGCGUCACGAGGUUGGACAACUAUCUCAAGCCAAGGGUGGAGACACGAGGCUGGAAGAUCGAUCUGGUGAAGGUGAAGUCCCGAGGUUGGAAGGACGGAGGCGUGAGAAACGUGACCAUAUUGAGGAAUUCAAUUUAUACACGUUACCCCAUGACCUUUAUGUAUGGCAUAUCCUAGAAAUGUAGUGGUUGAGGAAGGACAUUUCGAAAUGUAAAGUGGCUCAUGUGUCACUAUAAUAGGGGAGCUCUACUCCAUUGUAAAGGAAAAUCGAUUGUUUUUUAGAACUUCCAAGUGUUAUCUCUUUUUAUUCACGAAUUUGUUUGGUAUCGAAUUUUUCACGAAUUUGUUUGGUAUCGAAUUUUCUUUGAGACCAACAGGCAAUGAGGAGGUUAGGGUGGGCGCAACUCAUUUCAAUGGUGUAUGGUAGCAUAGUGAUGACAGAUCGAUCCGGUGGUGGGAUCCACCUGAAAUGAGAGAAGAAGGGCGGUAAGGGGCACCACUCAACGCAAGAGGAAGCUCCUCGGUGAGCACAUCGGGAGGAAGAAGGAACUACAAGAAGAAGCCCAAGGAAGAAGAUCUAGUAACUGUUGGAUUUCAAUCCAUGAACAUUCAGAUGUAUGGAAAAGAAAAGAAAAGAAAAGAAAAGAAGCCCGUAAGCAGUAUAGCUGGCCUAAAAAGAGAUACCAUGCAUGGCUUCAAGGAUGGGUCCGGGAUGUGCACUGCUGGCGCAGAACCCAAACACCAAAACAAGCACACACUUGCCAAACGUCACUCUUCAACACUUGUCGUACAGUAGAUUUCUACCUCUCCCAUCCUUGUCGUGCUGUGAAGAUAUCACCCGCGAGCAGCCAAUCCGAGCGCUCCCCGCUCCCAUCCUGGCCCCUCCUCCGAUGCCGUCCACUUCCACGUCCCUCUCGCCCGGCACGGCGCCGGACCACCAGCUGAUCGAGGCAUCGGCGACGACGCGACCAACCCCUACCCGGGCACCAGUAACCGGGACAUGCCUUUAACACGCUGGGAUCCCACUUCGACAGAAAGAUGUAAGCAAAGCAAACGACGCCUCGUUUCGUUCCAUAUCAUGGAGGCGGCCAUUCUUGCCGUGCUGGUGGCCGUCCUGCUCCUCCUCGCCCGAGGCGGAUCGGCGGCGGCGGGGGCCGGCGCAGCCACCGAGUUCGUGUUCACCGCCGGCUUCGCGCGCCAGAACGUGACGACCAGCGGCGCGGCCGUGGUCACGGCCUCCGGCCUCCUGCAGCUCACCAACGAGACGAACGAGGUGUUCGGGCACGGCUUCUACUCGGCGCCGCUGCGCUUCAAGGACGCCUCCACGGGCGCGCCGCUCUCCUUCUCCACCACCUUCGUGUUCGCCAUCGUGCCGCGGUACCCGGACGCGCACGGCCACGGGAUCGCCUUCGCGCUCGCGCCGUCGCCGGCCGUGGCGGGAGCCGUGGCGGGGAAGAACCUCGGCCUGUUCAACACGUCGGAUAACACGGGGCAGGGGAGGAGCGGGAUCGUCGCCGUCGAGCUCGACACGGCGCGGGACGAUGAGUUCAGGGACAUCGACAAGAACCACGUCGGCAUCGACGUCAACAGCUUGGAGUCCGUGAACUCAACGCCGGCGGCGUACGUCGAUGUCGGCACCGGCAGGCUCGUCAACUUCAGCCUGGUCAGCGGAAACCUCCAGCAGGUGUGGGUCGAGUACGACGGCGCGAGCAUGCGCAUGGAGGUGACGGUGUCGCCGGCCGGCAUGCCCAGGCCGGCUGUCCCGCUCGUGUCGUACACCGUCAACCUCUCGUCGGCCGUGGCCGACGACACUUACGUCGGGUUCUCGGGAGCGAACGGUGCGGCCUCAAGCUCUCACUACGUUCUUGGCUGGAGUUUCCGCCUCGGCGGCGGCCGCGCGCCGGACCUCGACCUCUCCAAACUCCCGCCGCUCCCACCUUCAAGAUCCAAGAAGAUGAUGCCGCUGCUACUGAUCCUCACACUGUUCCUAGUUGCCGUCUUGGUACUACUCCUAGUGUCGGGGGCAGUCGUGGUGCUCGUCAGAAGGCGCCGCCGGAUCGCCGAGGAGGAGGAGGACUGGGAGAUCGAGUACGGCCCUCACCGGAUCCGCUACAAGGACCUGCACGCGGCGACCAGGGGCUUCCGCGACAUCAUCGGCGCCGGCGGCUUCGGCACCGUGUACCACGGCGUGCUCCGGCGGUCGGGCGCCGAGGUCGCCGUCAAGAAGGUGGCCCACGACUCGCGGCAGGGGCUGCGCGAGUUCGUCUCGGAGAUCGCGAGCAUGAGCCGGCUGCGCCACCGCAACCUGGUGCAGCUCCUCGGCUACUGCCGGCGACGGGGCGAGCUGAUGCUCGUCUACGACUACAUGGUCAACGGCAGCCUCGACAAGCACCUGUUCGACGCCGGCAAGCCGGCGGCGCUGAGCUGGGAACGGCGCGCCAAGAUCGUCCGCGACGUCGCCGCCGGGCUGCUGUACCUGCACGAGGGGUGGGAGCAGGUGGUGGUGCACCGCGACAUCAAGUCCGCCAACGUGCUCCUCGACGCCGACAUGAACGGCAGGCUCAGCGACUUCGGCCUGGCGCGGCUGUACGACCACGGCAGCAACCCGCAGACGACGCACGUCAUCGGGACGCUCGGGUACCUCGCGCCGGAGAUGAGCAAGACGGGCAAGGCCACCACGAGCACCGACGUGUUCGCGUUCGGCGCCUUCCUGCUCGAAGUGGCCUGCGGCCGGAGGCCCAUGGAGCGCAACGACGACCUCGACUCGCCGGGGCUCGUCGACCUCGUCCUCGAGCACUGGAAGGCCGGGAGGAUCAUGGACGCCAGGGACCCAAAGAUCGGCGAGGGCGACGAGGCCGAUGUCGAGCUGGUGCUCAAGCUCGGGCUGCUCUGCUCGCACCCGGACCCCCGGUGCCGGCCGAGCAUGAGGCAGGUGGUGCAGAUACUGGAAGGCGCUGCGCCGGUGCCAGAGACGCCGCCGAAGGAUCUAGAAAACAAUAACAGGUUGUUCUAUGGAUACAUCGAGUCGUUCGACGAGUUCGCCACCGUGUUCCCGACGUCCGGGACCACCACCGUCACGACACAGCCGUCUUCUUCGCACUCCAACGACGAGCAGCAGGAGGUGAUCUCCGGCUGAGUGGUGACAUCUUCUCUCUUCACCAAACCACCAAAAAGUUCAGUCAUGUGCCUACUUACGGUGGUUGGAACUUGUAAAGGAAAGCAAGUAGUCAUAGAUUUAGAGUCAAAGAGGUGUUUGAUCUUUUUCGAAGUGAACAUAGGAUAUCGUCAGCCAUUUGUAGGGAUGACAAAAACAAUAAAGUUUGAUGUAUCAAGUCCCAACUGCCGAGGCCGGCUAUACCAAUCAGGUUAAUUAUCAUUUUUGGCUGGUGCAUUUCCAGAAGAAAAGACUCUGCAAAUGACAAGUGCAUGAGAACGGGUGGUGGACCACAAUAACCUUAUAUGGAUUGUAGGUGAAACAGUGAAUCUCUUCAAAUUAACAGUUAAAUAAACCUCAAAAGAAGUAAUGAUAUGGAAACAUCAUUUUUGUGAAGAAUCAGAACCCAGGUGUCGCUUUCGCUGGGCAUCAACUUGCUUACAUGGGAAGAAGAUUGUGGCAUGUGAACCAUAAACUUUAUAAUAGAAGUAUUGAGUUUAGAACAGUGGUCAGUGGACUUGGGAAAGAUACGGGAAGGUAUCUGAAAUCUAAAAUAUCUGAACAACCGAAAUAGACAGCACGUACAAGUGACAUGAGGAAGGUCCUAAUUGGAAAAUUACGACAGGCAAUGCCAGCUUCUAUCCAUAUAACAUUAGCUUACAGGUUAGCUGACUAGUUCAUUCAUCUAUAGCCUCAGCCACAAGCAGAAUCAUCAUCAUCUUCCUGGAUGCCCUGUGCAGCACCUUGGAUCAUUUCAUCAUCAACUCCUGGAAGGAAGUUUAGAACGUCUGAUAUUUAGCUUUUGUCAUUACCUGCAGAUAAAGUCUACAAAAGGAAAUACAUGUGGAUGUACCUUCAAUGAAGGAUUCAAAUUCAUCUUCAUUUGGUUCCCUUGGUGCGAUUCGGCUGACUGAUUGAUUAAUCUCCAUCCAGUUUGGUUGCUCAACUGGGCCAGAGAACAGUGCAGGUGUAUCCACAACCCAGUCAUCAACUAUGUCUACGUAGUCCACUGAGACAGGAUCAAAUGCUUUCACCUUGCGCUGUUGUCUAUGAACAAUUAUUAAUAAGAUCGGUCAAUCAAACCAUGUUUUUUUAGCAACACAUUCAAAUUUAACUCAUAAUGGCAAGACUCUAUACAAAAAGAUGAUUCCAUUACCUUUGCUGCAGCCGUAGGUUGUAUUGUACAAAGGUGAGAUCAUGCAUUCGCUGACGCUCAAAACUAUUCAAUCUUUCAUCAUGAACUUGCUCAAAAGGAAUGUGCGCCCGAUCACAUCCUCUAGCGCUGCAGGUUUGACUAAGAAUACGGACCGCUAGACGUGUUAAAUUUGGGCAAGCUCCUCCAUAUGUAUACCACCAUUCAGCUGUAAGAUAAAAUAACAAUAGUAAAGGCAAAAUGUUAAAUAUCACUUAACAAACUUUACAUUGUGACAACAUCAUUAAAGGGAAGCACAAUUUAACUAGGUUCCAAAUAUUGAAAGAAGGCUAACAAUGUAAAGUUUGUCAGAAAAGUCUCAUUUGGUUAGAUAAAACAAAAUAACCCUACAGAUGUAACUCAAGUUUGCAUGACAAAAAAAAACAUAAUACUAGCGUGUAUUACUAGUUAACGAGAAAUUCUUAAAUACUAACCAGGAGGUAAAGUUCGUCUGGAUCGGAUAGCCAUCUGCCUACGAAAAUCCCCUGCUGUCUCACUCCGGUACAUGUUGAGCUCUCGCUGGAUUUUAUCUUGGAUUUUCACAUCAGAAACCAGCCUUUCUAUGCAAUCUAGCAUUCCUGAGAAGAUUCCAUUUGAUACAUCACCUCGAAUUCCAUCAAAAAAUAGUGGAUUCAGGAAGAAACCAGCUGAAUGAAGUGGCCGUGGUGUUUGGUUGUCCCAUCUCCAGUCGAUGAUAUUCCAAUAAGCCAUGUAGUCGUUCUUACUCACUAGCUCUUUCUUGAUUGCUGCUUUGGCCUGGUACAAUCCAGCAUAAAUGUACCCCAUAGCAGGCCUCUUUGUACUACCAACUAGCUUAAGGAGAUGCACAAGUGGCUCGGUGAUGUGAACAACAGCAGCACAAGAGGACCAAAACUGCAAACUAUUAACAAGAUUGCUUACUUCGAUCCCUCCUUUCUUUGGCAGCAAAAAGUGUAUCCAUUCAUCCGAGUUGACCAUGGCUUGCAAAGCCUCCUUCAGACCGUACAUGUUCUUCAGUGUGACAAAGUUCAUAGAAGCGCGAGUCUCUGCAGGAACUAGCAGAUCCUUCCCAUGCAGAUACUUCUUCAUUAGAUUCAAUGCAAAUGCGCUGUUGUAGAAAAAUCCUGUGAGGGCCUUUGCAUUACUUAUUAUCUCACUGAUUGCCCCUACCUUACUGAAAUCUUCAAGCAUGCCAUCGAUGCACUGGAAAGAGCAUGGAGACCAGAACAAUGUUGGAAAUGUUUCACCUAGCUUUUUUCCUGCAGCUGCAUGGAUCUCAGAGUUGUUUGUGAUUACUUGGACAACUUUUUUCUCGCCAACUUCCUCGACAACACUUUUCAGUAACUCAUACAGUGCAUCUGAAGAUGCGACAAUGCUGGUUGCAUCCACCGAUUUGAGGAACAUAGUGCCUUCUGGGCAAUACACUGAAAAGUUUAUCAAGGUUCUGCCUUUAUCAGUGAUCCACUCAUCAGCCAACACCGAGCAGCCAGUCCUUGUCCAUGACCCCUUGAAGAACUCCAACCGAGACGUCGCAUCAUCCAGUGACUUCUUAAGAAUGUGACCACGAAAGUCAUGGUAUGAGAGCGCCUCCGGCCUCCCUCCUGCCGAUGCAAUAGCCUCAAGCAUGGGCUGGAAGUAGACUGAAUUCACUGCUUCCAAUGGCACACCAACAUCAUACAAGAACCUCCCAACUGCCACAGAAACCUGCUCCUUGUCCAAACCAGCAUGUCCGAAAUGUCCUGAUGAUGGUGUAACUGCGUCGACUGCCAUCACAACCUGAUGAAGAGGAUUGGUCUGAGGAGUAGACGGAACAUGCUGCUGCAGAGUCGGGGGAGUAAGUGGUGGAGUGGAGGCGUUACUCAACAUCUUCCUCUUCUUCUUACUGCUGACACUCCCCCUCAUGGUCUCCGGAAGCGGAGGCCUCUGUUCGUCGAGCGGCACGGGUUCGAAGUCCAGCACCUCGUUGAGCGGGAUCAUGUGGAUGGGGCUGUCGGUGGCCCCACCGCUCGCGGCGGAGGCGGGCGACGCGUCGGUGGGGGCGAAUCGCCUCAUGUCGCCGGGCGGGAGUGCGUUGGCUAGCUUGCGCUGCAUCUUCUUGGCGGCGACAGCGUCGAGGCUGCGCAUCAUGGUGUCCUGGACGUCGCGGGGCACCUUGGGGCAGCAGCAGGCGUUCCCGGGGCGGCGGGCCAGGUGCUCCUUGAAGCGGUGGAUGCCGCCGCCGAGGAAGUGCUUGCCGCAGUAGGCGCACUUGAGGCGCACCCGGCCCUCGGCGCGCACCAUGAGGCAGUGCUUCCACGCCGGGUCGUGCUUCUGCGCGCCGAUCUGCACCACCUCCUCCUCCUCCGCCCCCGCCCCGGCCGCCGCCGCGGCGUCAUCCCCCUCCUGCCUCUCCAUCCGGGCGCGAGCACUGCAUCAGCCAUCACCACCGGGCGUCACGAACGGCGCAAUUGGAUUCGAACGCAAUUCAUCGAGAGUCCUGCUGCUAAUCCCCCAAUUAGCCGAUGGCGCGCGCGCGAAAUGAACCUGUGCGGCCCCGCGCGCGCGAACCGAGCGAACCAGGAGAACCUGAAAGGAGUGGGGGAAAGGGUGGGAGGAGCGGGAUCGAGAGAGAAGAGAGAACUCACCCGGGUUUUUGGGAGGCGAAACGGCCGGGCUCCCCCAAAUCGGCGUCCGCCGGGGCGGGGAGGAAGAAAACCAGUGAGGUGGAGGUGAUUGGGGAUGGUGAGCGACGGGCGAGACGUGGGUGAGGAGCGAGCCGGCCGGGUGGGGUUGGUUGGUUGACCUGGCCGAGAGGGAGGGGGAGAGGGAUCGGGCACCGGCCCAGCCGGUUCUCGCGUGGGUUGGUUCGGGUCAGGUCACAUCAGGUUUGGGCUGAUCGGGGCGAAUGUGCCGGACCGUGGGCCGGCCUGGUUGGUUUGGCCGGAGGAGAGUGCAAAGCACUCGUUGCCCCACCCGUCAAACCGGGCAUCACCGGCCGCGGCGCCGGCCCGGAGAUGCUCGUUUCCCGACUCCCGAGGCACUAGCUGUCGCGCAAUGGGUACGGUGCAAGCUGCAGGGGGCAGAUGGGGACAAGUAAACACCUCACUCCACUCCAUCUCAGUUCUCAGCUGAUGGCAAAGAUGAACUGAGAGCUGAUGGCGAAGAUGAACUGAGAACUGUAGCUAGAUUGAGAGCUGGGGAAAGAGGUCGGGGAGGGGGGAUUUCGUUCCGAAGGCCUUGCUACGAGCUGAUCUUACCAUCACCAUUCAGCAGCACCGAGGUAUGGUUCUCUCGGGUCACAAUGUUUGCAUAUCUUUCUGCAGAUCGAGCUAGGUCUAUAUGUUGGGGAAAAUAAUUAGUUUUCUCUUCCCUUUUUGGCUGGGGAAUGUCAGUGAAAAUCGCAUGGGAAACUUCCGUGAGAUUGUGCCCGUGCGUGUGAGAUUUCGGAAAUAUGUAGGACAAAUCCCGGGCAAAAGGAAGAAGUGGCGUGCUCAAUUUAUUCUUCCCCCAAGUGACUGGUUGAACUCGCUGGAGUUGGUAGCUUUGGUUCGUUAUGUGGACCUGAUAUGAUGUGCCAGUAUCAGGAGGGAAGUGCCUUUGAGGGAUGGGAUCAUGGGAAUGAAUCUUUUUUGUUUUUUUGCCUGCUCCCCUUCUCUCUUCUUCUCUGCUCGCAUUUGGGAGACCUGACGCCUACCAGGAAGCUAGGGGAGUUCAGUUCACGUUGAUUUCUUUGUUUGAGAAUUAGUGUCUUUUUUUGGAAAAAGACACGUAGGUUACCCCCGGUAAAUAAUUAGGCAUUAGAUUAGAAAACGUUAUUUGUCUCAUGAUUUAGAGUUACAAGUACUGUACUUCUCGGACACAUUUCAUGGUACCAAAUUAUAGGUCGACCUAUAAUUUGGAACAGAGGGAGUAGUACGUUAAUUUUAGGUUAUGCAUUCUUAGAUGUAAAGUAUGUGUACCUGUAUUUUGUUAGUUGGAUUUGACCAAUUGGUGUCGAUUCUUAGAUGGAGAAUUUUCAGGGUGUGUAGGUUAAGUGGGUGUUUGGUUCCACCUUGCUAAACUUAGUUGCUAAAGUUUAGCAACUUUUAGCUGCUAAACUGCCAAACACCCUUGCUAAAACUUGCUAAAGUUGAGUUGCUAAAGUUUAGCACUUUAGCAAGUUUUAGCAACCAAAAACUUGUCUCCCCCCUCUUGCGCACCUAUACCCCUCAUUUAUUGCUUGUCUCCCCCCUCCUGCGCACCUUUAAUAAGGGUAGAUAGGUCUUUUUAUAGCUCAUUAAAUGUCUUUUAGCAAGAGUAUCCAAACAGCUUUUGCUAAAGUUUAGCAACUUUUAGCAACUAAAGAUUAGCAAGAGGAACCAAACAUGCCCUAAGAUGGAAAUCAACAACUGUAGGUUUUAAGGACGUGAUUUAUGAAACAUUAAAUGGCUCUAUUGUAAUUAGGAUUUUCGCACUAUAAUAAAUCCCAACAGCUGGCAUCACAGUUUGGAUGGAUUUUAUAUGGGAGGCUGAGAGGUCCUAAUUUUGUGUCUUGAACUAGAUAUGUUGGGCCUAACGAAAUUUAGGGUCUUUCUAUCGAUCGAGAUGGUGUUGGUUUCAGCAGUUUUUUCAGUUACAGUGUUUGAAUUCCCAAAUCAAGGGUAGAAUGGGGAGAUGAUGAAAUGGUAGGCAUGCUGUUUUUCUCUAAACCUUAGGAAGUUUAUUUGUGCCCCCAUGCUGGGUGGGAUACAGGUAGCUCUGGUUUGUUUUUCAUAUGGCUUUCUGCAUAAGCAGGGAAGCAUGUUUCAUCUGUAAAGGAAGGGGAAUGCCACUGGAUGUGGUGAAAAUUUAGAAGGAAUGUACUGAAUGGUGAACGCCUACCAGAUGUCAGAAAAUAUGGGUCAAAUGAAACCUUAUUUAGGAAAUACAUCUCUUACGAGGCUAUAGAUUGUGAAUGAACUGAUACCUUUUUUUUCUGCAGGCAUGUCAAUAACCGAGAGCUUCACGAUAUACCAUGGGGAUAAUUUGUUUACAAAUGGACCUGCGGGGGUGCAGCGGAAUCUGGCCGGCCGCGUCGUGUACAAGAAGCUGCUAGGGCCGCAGUACAUGUCGUUCCAGCAAGUGCGGCGCUGGAUAUUGGAGAUGUUCAACGUGGACGAGGUGAGCUUGUGCUGCGGCACAUCGUGCCUGUAAAGCCCAAGAACCAGGCGCGCGCUUACAACAUGGCGGUUGAUAUAGUAUGGCUUGAUUCCUGGAGGACAUUUCUUGAAGUGUCAUUGCGCCAAGGUGUCUCUUUGGUACUCUAUGUUCAGUGGCAGGCCAAGGCGGCGUCAGGUCCCGUUUGUGAAGGCGCUAUCGGCGAGAAGAACAGCGCCACACCUGCUCUGGCUCCAGCUCCGGCCCCGGCAACUGCCCCUGCGCCCACUCCUGCUCCUGCUCCUGCCCCUGCGCCUGCUCCCGCUCCCGCUCCCACCGCUAAAGAGCCCACCGUGGCCGGUGAACAAGGCGGAAGCUGGGACAGGGAGGACCCGGGCCGACGUCUCUACCGCUGCCCUCUGUUGGAGGUACCUUAUACUAGUUCCUUUUCCCAUGCCAUUAUUUGAAGAAAUUUAUAGAUUAGAGAAGUAGUCAAAUCUACAAAUGACCUCGAUUCAUUCCGCUUCCCAGGAUCCUGGGGGAUUGUGGAUUCACGCAGUGGCUGGACGAGGCCUUCCCUGAAAAGGCGACCAUGCACAUCAACAACCUCCUGAGUAGGGAGGAGUGCCUCGAGCAGCAGGUCGAGAACCUCCAGGAGGAGCUCAACGAGCUCCGUCGCCGGUACGUGACCGGCAGCAGCCAUCGUGACGGGCAAGACAGCGAGACACGCCCACGCCAAGUCCGCAGAAUGAUCUAGGACAACUGAUGGUGUACCCUGCUUCUCCCAGUUUGCAUGAAGUCCUCAAAUGUUACUAGUCAUGCUGUCCGUUUCUUGUUCGUUCAACCAUUUGUUCAGUCAUGUUGUUGCUAGAGCAUGUCGCUCUGAACAGUCUGAACCGUGUUCCAAUGUUAUGCCAUCUGUAAUGUAAAUUACUUGCAUCAACGCAUUUACCAUUUCAGAACAAUGUUGGACGUACUUCUUAUUUUGUCGCUACUUGUAUCGGUUCAAGUAUCAUGUCGAACAACCGUACUGAACCCCAAAUCUUGCACAAGUGACAAUCUGAAAGCUGCAAACGCGUUUGAAUCCAUAAAGGUCUGCAAACAGGCGAGAGUGAUCACUAUCCAUUACCACUCAAGAAUUUCUCAUGUUAUCCCCAUGUCACGGUAAAAAGAAUUUGAAUAUUACCAAUCAGUACAACAUUGUAAAAACUUGGAACACCUACAGCAUGAACAAGCGGAAAAGCACAAUAAGAAGCUAUCACUGAUUGACUAGCAGUAGAAGACUGCGCACAUGGAAAACGGAAUCCAAAACAAAUUGGAAUAGAAAUUGUUUCGCGUGUAGUAUAUAUGACCAACUCUUGUGCGAGGAGCACUGAAAAACUUACAAAAAAAAAAA